GAAGAAUAGGAAGAACCAUGAUGAGAGAAAGAAGAUGUAUUAGAUUGAUAAGAGUUAGGGUUACAAAUGGAGGCACACUUUAGUACAUAUAGAGAACAAACUCUAGGUCUAAGGGGGUGUGUACAAAGACAAUCAUACCCUCUCUUAGCCUUGUAACCCGAGUAACCCAAGUAACCUGUAAUCCGAGUAACCCAAGUAACCUGUAACCCGAGUAACCCAAGUAACCUACAUUUAACCCUUAACUAUGACUUAGUUAGUGUUAAAUGUCUUCUUGAUUAACACUCCCCCUCAAGUUUAUAUCACAAUGCCCAAUUGUGUAUAAACUUGACACUUGUAUGAAUAACCUCAUUAAAAACCUAAGCUUGGAAAACCACGUGGGACAAAACCAAGCUUAGGGAAAAAGAGUCUUAUCCCUACAAGUUGGAGAAUAUUUCUCAAGGAUGUGUGAGGUCUACAAGACCAAGUUUGCCAUGGAUAAAUUGACAAACUUGGUUACUUGCUGCCUUGGUGAAGAUAUCGGCCAAUUGGUCCUAAACUCUUAGUGUAGCAAGGAAGGAUUGUACCGUCUUCGAUCUUCUCUCUUGUCUUGUGGCAGUCCGUCUCUAUGUGCUUGGUCCUCUCGUGGAACACGGGGUUAGUAGCAAUAUGGAUGGCUGCUUGGUUGUCUCAAUGGAAGGUAAUUGGCGUCUUUUGCUCGAUCCCAAAGUCCUUUAGAAGAGCCUUCAGCCAUGUCAACUCGUUUGUGAGCUUCUUCAUAGCCCUAUACUCCGCUUCAGCACUCGAACAUGACACCACCUUCUGUUUCUUUGUCUUCCAAGUUACAAGAUUGCCACCAAUGAAAGUGCAAAAGCCGGUUGUGGACUGCCUUGUGUUGCGAUCUCCAUUGUAGUCUGCAUCACAGUACCCAACAAUUUCCGUGCUAAAGUUUCUUCCCAUCCAAAUGCCUUUGCCGGGACUCCCUUUGAUAUAUCUCAAAAUUCUCUCCACCAUGCUCCAAUGGUACACCGUAGGGACUUGCAUAUGUUGAGCCACCUGAUUCACGGCAAAAGAGAGAUCAAGCCGAGUAUAUGUCAAAUAAAUGAGCUUACCAACAAGUCUUCGAUACUGUUCCGGGCAAUGAUAUGGAGUAUCAUCCUUCUCCCCCUUUCGAUUGACCUUGUAUCCUUGCUCUAGUGGUGUAUCCACCGGUUUAGCUCCAAGUUUCCCUGUAAGCUUUAGAAGAUCGAGUGCAUAUUUCCUUUGUGAGAGAAACAGUUCCUCCUUGGAUCUACACACUUCAAUCCCUAAGAAAUACUUCAACACACCUAAAUCUUUAAUAUCAAAGGCUGAGUGUAAAGAAGACUUAAUGGCUUGAAUACCCUCUUUGUUACUGCCCGAGAUAAUCAAGUCAUCAACAUAGACCAAUACCACUACUAUGCCUUGAUUAUCUUGCUUUGUGAACAAAGUGUGGUCCGAAUGUGACCUCUUGAAGCCAUUUGCCAAUAGAGUGGUGCUUAGCUUGUGAUACCAAGCUCUUGGAGACUGUUUGAGACCAUAGAUUGCUUUCUAAAGCCUUAAGACCUUUCUCGUAGCCACUAUGUCUUCUAAACCCGGAGGAGGUGACAUGUAGACUUCUUCUUCUAACUCCCCCUGAAGGAAAGCAUUCUUGACAUCCAUUUGCCACAACUCCCAAUCCAAAUUAACCGCUAAAGAUAGAACCACCUUUACCGUGUGUUGUUUAGCUACCGGAGCAAACGUUUCCCUAUAGUCAUCACCAUAAGUUUGCGUGAACCCUCUUGCAACCAGCCUAGCCUUAUAUCUCUCAAUUUCACCAUCACUCUUGUACUUAAUUGUGAAUACCCAUUUUGAGCUAACACACUUCUUCCCUUUUGGUAGUUCUUCUUCAUCCCAAGUCUUGUUUCUUAUCAUAGCUUGUACUUCAUCAUCUACAACAUUAGUCCACUUCUCACUUUCCUUAGCUUCCUCAUAGUUUUGUGGGAUAGAUUCUUCAUUUAACUUGCUCACAAAAGCUUGAUGAUCUUUAGGUAAGAGGGCAAUCGAACACGUUGCUUGUAUUGGAUGAGCCACGGCUUGAGCAUUGUAGUAGGGGAUUCUAGCUUUCUUCCAUUCAGAAGGAGAUUUCUUCUCUCUUGUACUCUUCCUUGGAUUUUCCCGUGUGUAGACCGGAUCUUGUGUGACUUGUGGAGCUUGAUAAGUCCCAUCUUCGCUCGAAGACUCAAUAACUUCUCCUUCACUAGACUGACCCUUCUCUACCACUCCUUCACUAGACUCCUCUCUUCUACCACUGUCUUGGCGAUUAUCCAACAGAUUCUGAGAUGCAUCGUUAUCAUUCUCUCUGACUUCAUUCUCAUCCACAUUUGGUGUUGGUGAAGCUUCCUUAUCUGCCUGAGGAGAACUCGCAUUUCCCAAAUGCUCCAGAAUGUGACGGAGACUUGCAGCUCGAUCAAAGGUAGAAUUAGGUAGAUCUUUAAUACUCUCCCAACUCUUUUCCCCAAAGUAUGCCUUGUCUUCCAUAAACUUGACAUCCCUUGACAGGUAAUACCGAUUGGUGACUGGAUCGAAGCACUUGUAACCUUUCUGAGUUGUUGAGUACCCAAUGAAAACACACUUAUUACUCUUGGGUUCCAGCUUGUUUCUCAAGUCACCUGGGACAAACACAAAACAAAGACUUCCAAAGACCCUCAAAUGAUCAAUGUUAGGGUUAGUUUUGUUUAAAAUCUGAAAUGGAGAUUUAUCAUCAAGGAUACGUGUCGGUAUUCGAUUGAUGAGAUAACAUGCUGUCAUCACCGCAUCUCCCCAAAACCGCUUUGGCAUAUGCUUCUGAAAUAACAUAGCUCUUGCCACCUCCAUUAAAUGCCUAUUCUUCCUCUCGGCAACUCCAUUUUGUUGUGGAUUGUAUGGACAGCUCGUUUGGUGAAGGAUUCCGCAUUUCUCCAAGUGUUCUUUGAGCUUGUUGCUUGUAUAUUCACCUCCAUUAUCUGUUCUAAGAAUUUUAAUCUUUGCAUCAAAGUGAUUAGUCACAUAGUUUUGAAAGUUUAUAAACGCAUCAUAAACUCUAUCCUUAGAUGGCAUCAAAGUUACCCAUGUAUACUUAGAUUUCUCAUCUAUAAAUGUGACAAAGUACUUAUGAUUGUCUCUAGAUGCACAAGGUGAAGACCAAACAUCAGAAUGCACAAGGUCAAAACAUUUUUCAUAAAUCGCACUAGACUUAGGAAAAACAGCUUUGCAAUGUUUGCCUAAUAUGCAUGCUUCACAAUUUGCGCAAUCAUAAGAAAAACCAGGCAUUAAUAAACUUAAAGCUCGAGAAUGUGGAUGGCCUAGUCUCUCAUGCCACAAUACAACCGAUGUUUUAACAGAGUUUGCAAAGAUAGAAGAAACAUUAUUCUUAGAAACAGAAUUUAAAGAGAUGUCUUGAAACACAUAUAAGUCAUCCUUGGUGCUUCCUUGCCCAAACACUUUUCCACUCUCAAUAUCCUGCAACUUCACGUCAUUAGGACUAAAAAUAGCUAAACAAUUCAAGUCCUUAAUCGUUUUCUUAACAGAGAGAAGAUUUGAAGUGAACUUAGGCAUAUAGAAAGCACUAGACUUCUUAUUGAACAAAUCUAUGCAACCUAUGCCUUCUAUUGGAACAUUAUGUCCAUUUGCAACUUUAACAUUACCUAAGGCCGGUUUAAUGUUCUCUAACAACCUAGGGUUACUAAUCAUAUGGUGAGAAGCCCCUGAAUCUAAUACUAAUGAAUCUUUAUCACGAGUAUUAGAAGUUAAGAGAGAAAUACCGCCAGUGUGUAAUUUAGAUGCAAUGGAUUGGAGGAGGGACUCGAGGUCAGCCUUGUUCAUGACAAUAGUCUCCUGAGCUUGUGAGGUAGAUGCGCCACUCUUGCCUUGUGUAAUGGCCUGCAUCGCUUUCUCUUGCCUGUACUGAACCAUAGCUCUUUCUUCAUUCUGUGACCCACCAUCACUUCCAUUAACCGCAUUCGCCUUUGGCUUGAAGUUCUUGAAUUUUUCCGGUUUUAAAUGGGGAUGAAGAAGCCAGCAUUUAUCCUUCAAGUGACUUUUUUUCUUACAAUGAUCGCAAACCAACAGUUUCUUGUCACCUUGUUUCACUGUCCCAACUUUGUUUGCCGUAGGUAGGUUCUCCUCUUUGUUGCCAAAAAGACCUUGAGGACCAUACUCCCUUUGUAUCUUUGAACAUACUUGCUCCAAGGUUGGUACUUUGUCAUCUCUCAAGAUAUGUUGAAUCACAUCCUUGUAUGUCGAGUUCAGCGUCAUCAUUGUUGGUGUCGGAUCCCGCACCAGAAGUACGAGACCAACCAAAGAUUACCACGUGGUCAAGAUAAUGGCCCUUAAAAGAUGAAGCCCAUUGGACCCAUGAGCCGAAGGAACGGUCGAAGUGGUUGUCACCACUUCGAGAAUCCGAAGUGACUGCAUUGUGACAUGAGUUCGAUGUAGAAGACACGGGUAAGUCGGUUCAAGGAUGCUUGGGCCAAAAGGCGAAGCCCAUGAAGAUCAGAGUCAACUCAAAUUCAAACGUUGAGCAUUAAAGCCGAAGAUCAAAACGGACACAUUUAAGAGAGAAUAAUUACACUUAAUUAGCCACUUUAAAUGUCGUUUCUCUAUGUAUAAAUAUAAAGGCCAAUGGCUAUGUAAUGGGGAUCUUCCUCUCAAGAAAGAAAUACUAUAGCAAUUUUCGUAGCAAUUUAGAAGUUUUUACCUAUUCAUUUUUGUCCCUCAAGAAUAAUCUUUCCUACUUAAUAAAAUACUUGAGUGUGUGAAUCCGACAUCCACAUUUUGGCGCCGUCUGUGGGGAGAAUUAGGAUUCUUGAGUGGUCAGAUUUUUUCUUUACUACAUUUCCGAGAUAAGCAACAAUGUCCGGAGGAGACGCCGUUGAGACAUCAUUGGCCGAAACCCUCAAAGCUAUGCAGCAAACCAUGUCGGACAUAUCACAAAAGUUCUCGGAUGUGGAAAAGGCCGUCGAUACGUUGCAAACAUCCCAGGUAUCUCUUAGUCAAAACGUCAAUACUAUACAAACUCGUGUUCGCUCUUUAAGUGCAGGAAACCUUGCGGGAAUCCGAAGAGGGAUAUUCAACUCGCCAAGUUCCGCUGUACGAAAUGAAACCAGCGGACAAACAACUCCCGGUGCUACUAAUAAUGUAGCUCAGACAUUGGAAGAAGAGACACAGCUCGGGGAUGAAGAACAACUUGCAGCUCAGUACGAGCAGGAAAACCUCGACCAGUUCGAGACCAUGAGGAAGGUUAGCCAGGAGUUAAAAGAAAUGAAAUCAAAAUUUCAUCAAGCUACAAGUUCGGAGCCAGACAUCAAUCGAGUCAUUGAAGAAGCUAGGCGAACACCUUUCAUCUCGCGAAUUGCAAGUUUGAGGAUCAAAGAUUCCCGGAAACUCAAGUUGGACCCUUACAGCGGAUUGGAGGAUCCAAAAAGCUAUCUCGCAGCUUUUCUGAUCGCUGCUGGAAGAGUCGAAUUGGAUGAAGCUGAUGAGGACGCAGGCUACUGCAAGCUUUUUUCGGAGAAUCUAUGUGGCCAAGCUCUAAUGUGGUUCACCCAAUUAGAGCCGGGUUCGAUCAGUAAUUUCGACGAACUAUCAGCCGUGUUCUUAAAGCAAUAUUCCAUCCAUCCUUAUGGAUAAAAGCGUUUCGGAUGCCGAUCUUUGGAACUUGUCGCAAGGGUCAAGUGAGUCACUUCGAGUUUUCAUCACCAAGUUCAAAGGAGUGCUGUCAAAACUCCCAAGAAUCUCAUAGCAAUCAGCUUUAUCUGCCCUACGAAAAGGAUUGCGACAUGAUUCAAGGUUUAAAGAAGACUUAAUACUUCAUAAACCAGACACAAUUCAGGAUGCACUCUUCCGCGCGAACAACUGGAUGGAGGUAGAGGACGAAAAAGAAAGUUUUGCCAAAAGGAACAAACAAGAAAAGCCGGCAAUCACCGUCCCUACCAAGAAGUUCGAGCCUAGGGAGAACAAAGGACCAAGGAAAUUUGGGUCGCAACCCUUCAACAGUACCGUCGGAAAGCAAUUCCAAGGGAAAGGAAGAUCAAACACUUGGGUCCGUGAUGAAAGUCUAUAUUGCGAUAUUCAUAAAGUAACCGGGCAUUUAACCAAGGAUUGCAGCGUUCUUAAAAAGCACCUCGCAGAGCUUUGGGCCAGUGGAGAUCUUUCCAAAUUCGAUAUAAAAGAUUUUGUGAAGGAAUACCACGAAGCGAAGGAAAACUCCAAAGAUCAAGAUUCCAAAAGACCAAGGUUAUCCAACGAGGAAGAACCAAUGAGUUCGAAGGGUAAGAUCAAUGUGAUUCUAGGAGGUUCCAAGUUUUGCGGAGAUUCGAUAAGUUCCAUCAAGAAACAUAGACGAAAUAUCCUACUCAAAGCAAGCUUAAGCGAGGAAAUCGAUUUUCAAGGUGCAUCGAUAUCAUUUAAUGAAGAAGAAACGCGGUACCUCGAAAGACCGCAUGAUGAUGCUCUAGUCAUUACCCUUGACGUUGCUAACUUCGAAGUAUCAAGGAUCCUUAUAGAUACAGGCAGUUCGGUCGACCUGAUCUUUUUAAGUACUUUAGAAAGAAUGGGAAUCAGCCGAGCAGACAUAGUGGGGCCUCCGUCUCCAUUAGUUACAUUCACAAGUGAAUCAGCCAUGUCUCUCGGGACAAUCAAGCUACCGGUCCUUGCCAAAAAAGUAUCGAAGAUCGUGGACUUCGUUGUCUUCGAUAAACCCGCAGCUUACAACAUCAUCCUUGGUACUCCCUGGAUCUAUCAAAUGAAAGCAGUCCCCUCUACGUAUCAUCAAUGUAUCAAAUUUCCAACAUCAAGAGGAGUGGAAACAAUUCGGGGAGAUCAAGAAGCUUCACGGACGUGUUAUCUGGCUAGCCACCGUAUGAAGAUUCAAUAGCAAUAAACGAAGCCCGCAAAAGAGGGACUAAGAACAAAAUUUCCUAGCGGGCAGAAGAAAGAUGAUGUAGUAAUCGAAGUGGUGUUGGAAGAAGACAAGCCGGACCGGAAAAUUCGAAUUGGGGCAACUUUGACUGGCCAAAUAAAAGAAGCUUUGAUCGAACUCUUAAGGAAAAACAAAAAAUCGUUUGCAUGGUCAGCAGCAGACAUGCCUGGCAUAAAUCCAAGUAUAAUUUGUCACGAGCUAAACGUAGAUCCAAGGUUCAAGCCGGUGAAACAAAAAAGAAGAAAGCUUGGAGUGGAGCGAGCAAAAAUAGUAAACGACGAAGUGGAUAAACUUUUGAAGAUAGGGUCCAUAAGAGAAGUGCAAUAUCCGGAAUGGGUGGCAAAUACUGUCGUUGUCAAAAAGAAGAAUGGAAAAGAUAGGGUUUGCAUCGAUUUCACAGACCUAAAUAAAGCAUGUCCCAAAGAUAGUUUCCCGCUCCCACAUAUAGAUCGCCUUGUAGAGUCCACCGCUGGGAACGAGCUGUUAACAUUCAUGGACGCCUUCUCGGGUUAUAAUCAAAUAAUGAUGAACCCCGAAGAUCAAGAAAAGACGUCAUUCACCACUGAUAGAGGUAUCUAUUGUUACAAGGUAAUGCCUUUUGGUUUGAAAAAUGCAGGAGCAACUUACCAACGGUUGGUUAACAAAAUGUUCCACAAUCACCUCGGGAAGACAAUGGAAGUCUACAUAGAUGAUAUGUUGGUUAAAUCGUUAAAGAAAGAAGAUCACGUUAAGCAUUUGGAGGAAUGUUUUGAUAUUCUCAAUAAAUAUCAAAUGAAGCUGAACCCGGCGAAGUGCACAUUUGGAGUCCCAUCUGGAGAAUUUCUUGGCUAUAUCGUGACAGAAAGAGGGAUUGAAGCCAAUCCAAAUCAAAUUAACGCCUUUCUAAACAUGCCGUCUCCAAGAAACUUCAAAGAAGUACAACGGUUGAUGGGGCGGAUUGCGGCUUUGAAUCGUUUUAUCUCGAGAUCAAUAGAUAAGUCGUUACCUUUCUACCAAAUUCUAAAAGGGAACAAAUGAUUCAUUUGGGAUGAGAAGUGUGAAGAAGCUUUUGGGCUGCUUAAGGCAUACUUAACCACUCCACCUAUCAUGUCCAAACCGGAAGUGGAUGAAAAACUUUAUUUAUACGUAUCGGUUUCAAACCACGCGGUUAGUGGAGUCUUGGUUCGGGAAGACCGUGGGGAGCAGAAACCAAUUUACUACGUGAGCAAGUCAAUGACGGAUCCAGAAACCAGAUAUACAAUGAUGGAAAAACUCGCACUCGCGGUGGUGAUAUCGGCUCGAAAGCUGCGCCCGUACUUUCAAUCCCAUCCGAUUGAGGUAUUAACCAACCAGCCACUCCGAACAAUACUUCAUAGUCCAAGUCAGUCCGGACGAUUGGCGAAAUGGGCGGUGGAAUUAAGCGAGUACGACAUAGAGUUCAAAAGCCGGAUCAGUAUGAAGGCUCAGGUCUUAGCAGAUUUCCUGACCGAACUACCAAUACCUGGAACGAUAGAACAACCGGAGAACCAAACUUGGAAAUUACACGUAGAUGGGUCUUCAACAAAACAAGGAUCCGAAGUGGGAAUCAAGUUGGAGUCUCCGACGUCAGAAAUUCUAGAACAAUCAUUCCGGUUGUUAUUCAAUGCCUCCAACAACGAGGCAGAAUACGAAGCCCUGAUUGCCGGACUUCGAUUAGCACAAGGAGUUGGAGCUAAGGAAAUAUUGGCUUAUUGCGAUUCGCAAUUAGUAGUUAACCAAUUUAAUGGAGACUAUGAAGCCAAAGAUUCAAGAAUGGAAGCGUACCUCGAAGUGGUGAAGGAUUUAUCUAAAAAUUUCUCGAAAUUUGAAUUAAUCCGCAUACCUCGAGGAGAGAAUACAACUGCGGACGCGCUUGCAGCAUUGGCAUCAACAUCAGAUCCUGAGUUAAAGAGAGUUAUUCCAGUGGAAUGUAUUUCGGAGCGAAGCAUUCAAGACAACAAAGAAACCCUCGUCGUUACAAGGUCUCGAGCAGCGGCACGCGACCGUGGCGAACCAGAGAUCGAACCGCCACCCAACAAACGGAGGAAGUCAAGAGGAUCAAAUAUAUCUAACAAGGAACCCGUUGUCUUAGCUGAAGAUGUGAGUUCAGAAACAGUAUUAGAAACCGAACCGUUAAUCGAGGAGGAUGCUCUCGAACCAAACGAACAUCCCGAGCCAGAGCCACGAGUAUUUCACAAGGUUGACCAAAUUCCGGCUAAAGACUGGGGGGCUGACUGGAGGGAGCCAAUAAAGCACUACAUCAUGACAGGUGAGCUCCCAAAGAAUAAAUGGCAUGCCAGGAAAAUGAAAGUCGUUAGCGCGAAAUUUUGUCUGUCAAAUAAUGCGUUAUAUAGACGAGGUGUCAGUGACCCUUACCUAUUAUGCAUUUUUGGGCCCGAAGUCGAAAUCGUCAUGAGCGAAGUGCAUGAAGGAUUAUGUGGGAGUCAUUCAUCAGGAAGAGCUAUGGCUUAUAAAGUUAAAAGAAUGGGGUAUUUUUGGCCCACUAUGAUCACAGAUUGUGUUAAGUUCGCCCAAAGAUGCAAGCGCUGCCAACUCCAUGCACCAUUGAUCCAUCAACCGUCGGAAUUAUUCUCCUCCAUUUCCGCCCCAUACCCGUUUAUGAGGUGGUCAAUGGACAUCAUUGGACCAUUACAUAAAUCAACUCGAGGUGUACAGUACCUUUUUGUCCUUACGGACUACUUUUCAAAAUGGAUUGAAGCUGAGGCAUAUGUUGGUAUCAAAGAUUCGGCGGUGAAGACCUUUAUUUGGAAAAACAUUAUAUGUCGACAUGGAGUUCCAUACGAAAUAGUCACUGAUAAUGGACCACAAUUCAUUUCACACGAGUUUGAUGCCUUUUGUGCGGACUGGGGAAUCAAAGUUAGUUAUUCUACUCCACGAUAUCCGCAAGGAAAUGGUCAAGCUGAAGCCGCAAACAAGACAAUAUUAAGCAAUCUCAAGAAACGCUUAAGUCAUCUAAAGGGAGGAUGGUAUGAAGAACUCCAACCCGUCCUGUGGGCCUAUCGUACAACCCCUAGGCGGCCUACAGGAGAAACUCCAUUCUCUUUGGUUUACGGCAUGGAGGCGGUAGUGCCAGCUGAACUCAAUGUGCCCGGACUUCGCCGAACAGAAGCACCGUUAAAUGAGGAAGAAAAUUCAGCAAUGCUUAAUGAUUCACUAGAUACCAUAAAUGAAAGGCGUGAUCAAGCUCUAAUUCGGAUCCAGAAUUACCAGCAGGCAGCAGCCCGGUAUUACAAUUCUAAGGUUAAAAGUAGGCCUUUCUUCGUGGGAGAUUAUGUAUAAAGGCGCAUCUCCGAGAAUAUUUGAAAAGAAAGGAAAGUUGCAAAUGUUUCCAUAAAUAAAAAGGGGCCGAAGCCCAUUACGAGUUUAAAAUAAGUGAAGAAGUUAAAGAACAUUUAUGGAAGAGGCUCAGGAACAGGCUCCUUCAUCGCCGGUUUAGUCUUCGAAGUGGACGCCUUGUUCUUGGCAUCCACUUCGGAACGAUCCCGAACGCGUUUCCGACUGUUGCUGGCCUCCUCCUCCAAAUCGUCCUCCUCUUCGCUGUCAGAUGGAACGGCGCAGACAGGGACGUUCACGGGACCCGGGACUCCUUUAGCGCAGAGAUACAUCCGAAGCAUCUUCGGGAUCUCAGCGACGGAGUCGAAGUUCCGCCACUCCCAUUGAAAGGGAUCACUCUCCAAGGCCCGUAUCUUCCUCUCCACCCGAGCAAUGCGAGCCUCGAGUGUUUGCCUUUUAAGGCCCACAAGCGACGGUGCUUGUCGGCAACCUAGCAUAAAGAUGAAUGAAUAAGAUGAAACCAAAAGUUUUUAAGUCAAAAACUUUAAAUAUUUACCUUGUCGAUAAAGUCGCAAGCCUCUUUCUUCUCCUUUGAAGGAAAGUGAAAGACGGCGUGAGGAAAGAGAACGCCGGCCGGUUCAAAGCCGUCGCCGGACAAGAAGAGUGGGCUGCCGGGAUCAAUGGGGGCUACUUUUUCGUUUUCCAUUCUCGAAAUAUUUCUCAAGUAAGAUUCUAAAAUCGUGUUUAAUAAAGCUUAGAAGUAGGUAAGCCUUUAUUUAUAAUGAUUUAGGGUUUUUCUUGGAACCAUAAAUCCAAUAAUGGUAGUGUGUCCGAGUGGUUUAAACCAUUUUUGGAAAUCGAGAAAAGGCAGUUAUUGCAUUAAAAGACGAGCCGUUUUCCUUAUUUAUAAGAAGGGAAAGAGCAACCGUCGCAUUAACUACAAAAGUUUCUAAGGCCCAAGCCCAAUAAAUUUAUCGAGUUGACUAAACCCGAAGUGGGGAACUCGCUUUAAGCCGAGCUCAGCUCUCGCAUUCUAAAGAGAAAGGUCUGAUCAGCCUAAAAAUCUCAAAAGCAUAACCACAAGGCCACAAAAGGUUAAAAGCGGACUUUGCAAACCCGCAUAUAAUUUUAACCAACCCCCUUGGGUCAUAACCUAGAAAGGUUUAAAAGCCUCCUCAGGCAAAUAUCUUGUUCAAAAGAAAUGAUAAAGCCUCCUUAGGCCAAAGACAAGUUCGAAAUUAAGUUUAAACUAAGUGGGACAAUCCCCAGUUUAAAGUGGACACAGCCACUACGGAUUGACCUCCACCUCGGACCCCGGCUCAGCUUGAUCAGAUGAAGCUCCCUUACCACCCUCCGCGGUGCAACCAUCCUCCGGAGUGACCUCCGGUACCAUAGGAGCUACGGGCGGGACAACGUCUUCCGUCUCACUUGAGCCUAGAAAUAAUAAUUCCAGUCAAUCAAAGGUACAAGGUAAGAAAAGGUAAGCGUCAGGAGCCAAGCGUUACCUGCCCAGUCUAAACCCGAUUCACUUAUAGGAGGUGAUUCAGUAAAGAACUCCUCGAAGUCAAGCGGGUUGAAGGUCGAAAUGGGAAGAGCUGCCAAGCGACUCCGUUUUUCAGAAAGAUUAGUUGACAGCUCGGUCCUUUCUUGAUCCUCGGAGAAAUCUGCUUCAUGGAUUUGAUCCAGCAGAAUCAGGUUGCUUUCAUGCUCCUUGAUGUCUGACUCCAAGUCCGACCUAGCCUUCUCGGUUUGCAUGAAGCGAAUGGCCCCUUGGAUCAGUUCCAUCCCGCGUCCCUUAACCUCCUUUCUGGCCUUCGAUGCCGACCUUGCUAACUCGGAGUCACGCAACUUGGCCAGCGCCUUGUACUUCGCGUCAAGCUCGAUAAAUUGGUUGUUCAGGGUAUCGGCGGUUGAUUCGGAUUCAUGAAGUCUACCCUGAACACCAGAAAGUUCAUCCUGGAGUUUGUAAUUCCGGUCAUACUGGUCUUGCAGCUCCCCCUUUACCUGCGCCAGCUCGGAUGUUAAACUGUCGACCUUGUCCUCCAGAUCGUGCUUGGAGCCAGCAGAAGAAUUGAGUUCAGCCUCAAGGGCUGAGAAUUUCUUCUUCCACACGUCAACCUCCUUCUCCCGUCCAAUGACCAACCCUUCGUAAUGUUCGAUCAUAUCGUUAAGUUCGCUAUGAGCCUGGCAUUAUAAACCCAGGAUGGCGAGUCAGCUUGAAGAAUGGCAAUACAUAAAAAAAAAAACAACAAAAAAAAAAAAACAGAAUUAACCCGAGAUGAAUGAUAAGCGUGAAGCAAAUAGCGUUCACGAAUCGCAGGGCGCCAUUUGUUGAAGUCUGGCAAGAUCGAACCCGAUCGGGUCUUGAAGCAUCGGAAGACGCUACCUUCUUUCUCCAUAGCUGCGAAGAAGGAAGAGUUGUAAAAAUUGGAAUUUUAAUAGAGACAAAAAGUUUAAGUAUGUGUAAGUCACCAAACCUGAAAGCGAUUUGACUUGAGGGACGAGAGCAGGCUUCAACCUCGAGGAAGCAUCUCGAGAUUCAGAAUCUCCCCUUUUAGGGAUGCGCUCCGAGCAGUCUUUUCGCUGACGGGCUGGGAAGAAGAAGACAUGUCAACAGGUCGGGGAGGACCCAUUGGUUCAGUAGGAGGGGAUGAUCGAGGUGAACGGUCAGUCCGGGCCCUUGAUUUCUCCCUUCGCGGAGACGAGUCAUCACGGGACGACUUGUCCCUCUUCUUACGAACAAAAUUCUUAAGUGGUUCGUUGCUGAAAUUGUCUCGGGGAGGACGAGGAGAAUCACGACGAGGAGACCGCUCUCUCCGAGGAGAACGUUCGUCGCGGCGUUCGCGACGAGGUGUUAACCUAUAAGCAGCAACGGAUCUGGCUCCCUCGGAGCUGUUGUCAUCAACCAGCAGGGUCCUGCUGUAAUCUUUUUUGUCGAUGGCGGCCACAAGGAACGCCUUGUUUUCAUCACAAGCCUCUGCUAUCGGCUUGGAGAGUUUCUUACGCUGGGCAUCGAGGGCCCGAGCUGACAUUCCCUGAGUUGAGGGAGAAGGCGGAAGACGAUGAAGUAGAUUGGGAGGACUCAUCCUGAGAUUCCGGUUGGCCUCGACAAACCGGUCGAGGGUGAAAGAAUUCCAAAGGGUUUCCCCUUCAAGGAUUGUUUUGAAGAACUUGACAAAAUCUUCAGUCGGGAGAGUUGAAGCGAUGAGAGCUGCGAAAUGAAAUAACGAAUUUGGUCAGUAAAAAAUAAUAAUGAACAAUAAAGGAAUAUACGACCUAGUCUCUACCAGGUUUCGCAGACCACUUCGAUGGGAGUACAUCGGAAAGAUUCCCAAUCGAAGCAGGAGUUUUCUUAAUCAGAAACCAAGGAUGGUGCCAGUUCUCAUCCUUGUUCGGGAGGUGCGAGAUGAUGUUUCUAUUGGCAUUUGGAUACGCCGAGAAGUACCCAGUUUUCUUUGAUGAACUCCUUACGCUUAGGAGUUCAUUCAGCUCGGGGACUCCAAUGACGUAGCCAGCCUCCACCGCAACGGUUAUAAUCCCGAGGAUGGUUCGGAGGAGAUUGGGGGUUAAUUGAGGUAAAGCGAUCUCGAGAGCCGCCAAGAAUCGAACUAGGGCUUCGGGAAGGGGGAAGGUCAAUCCGCAGCCCUUGAAGUAAAUUUCGUAAACACAAUAGUAGCCGACACGGUGGUUCUCCGGGGAUUCCGUAGGGUUGGCUAUUUGCGCCUCCGCUAUGAUUCCAGGAUAAAUUUGACAGAGCCCCUUUAAUCGCUCAAGGGACUGAAGAGUGUAGGUGGAUUUGUAAUGAGGACCGGCAAUAUCGUUAGGACGAGUGCAUUCAUCAUUACUAGAGCGCCUCUCAUCGUAAGAAGGAGAUUCAGGUCUCUCAGAAUCGGGAUUCAUCGGAGAAAAAUGAAAAAUUCAAGAUCCGGCGAAGAAGGGUUUUGUGAAGAAAAGUAGAGAGAGGUUUUGAUUAAAGCACAAAAGUAAAAGAAGAGAGUAAUGGUGAAAAGAAGUUACCUCAAGCUAAUGAUGAAACCGCCUCGGAAGUUGUGUGGGAAGUGGGAAGGUUUUUUUCCCGUUUUAAUAGUAAUUAAUCAAUAUACGGUCAUAAUGAUGACAGAUGUCACUCGGUUAAAAAUGGCUAGUGCCGAAAUUAAAGGAGUGAUGAGAUUUUCGGCGGGAAAUCAGAAAGAUUCUCGAGCGCAAUCUUUGGCCACUUGAGCAUUUAAAGUCCUCCGAAUUGGAAUAGCACUUCGAAGAACUUGGGGGGCUAAUUGUUGGUGUCGGAUCCCGCACCAGAAGUACGAGACCAACCAAAGAUUGCCACGUGGUCAAGAUAAUGGCCCUUAAAAGAUGAAGCCCAUUGGACCCAUGAGCCGAAGGAACGGUCGAAGUGGUGACAAUCCGAAGUGACUGCAUUGUGACAUGAGUUCGAUGUAGAAGACACGGGUAAGUCGGUUCAAGGAUGCUUGGGCCAAAAGGCGAAGCCCAUGAAGAUCAGAGUCAACUCAAAUUCAAACGUUGAGCAUUAAAGCCGAAGAUCAAAACGGACACAUUUAAGAGAGAAUAAUUACACUUAAUUAGCCACUUUAAAUGUCGUUUCUCUAUGUAUAAAUAUAAAGGCCAAUGGCUAUGUAAUGGGGAUCUUCCUCUCAAGAAAGAAAUACUAUAGCAAUUUUCGUAGCAAUUUAGAAGUUUUUACCUAUUCAUUUUUGUCCCUCAAGAAUAAUCUUUCCUACUUAAUAAAAUACUUGAGUGUGUGAAUCCGACAUCCACAAUCAUUAACCCAAAGACAAGAUCUUGCUCUCUUCGAUCUUUAAGUGUCUUUGCCUCCGUGGUGAAUGGUCGUAGCAUUUCUAGCUCAGCUACAAGUGAUCUAUACUUCCCAAAGUGAGUAUUGAAAUCACUUUCAUCUUGAGAUAGACUCCCUAGAGCCUUCUUGAUCUCAUAGACCCGAGUCAAGUUUGAUUCAUUUCCGAACACAUUCAUAAGAGUAUCCCAUAGCUCUUUAGAUGUUUCGCAAUAUGAGUAUCCUUCUAAGAUUGAAGCCUCAAGUGAGCAAUGUAAAGCACUUAGGACGUUCAAAUCAUCUUGUUUCCAAGUGUCUUUAUCCAAGUUCUCAUCAAUUGCUUUCAACUCUUCAAAGGUAACCUCUAUGUGUUUCGUGAGCUUUCUUCCCCCUAACACAUUCGUUGUGGUUCUCUUCCACAAAAGAUAAUUUUUACCAUUCAACACCACUGGAAAUUUCAGCUCCUUGUACUUCUCACUCGUCUUGUGAGCCGUAAGAGACAUUUUAACCCUCUAAGCUUAGAAAUUUCAACCAAAGAUGUGACCUUUUCCCGAUCAAAACCCAAAACCAGAAGCUACAACCUAUGUCACGUCCCUCAACCAGAAGAUUCCCAACCUAAUCAAGAUAAAGUUCGCACCUUUAACUGAAGAACCAACAGAAACAACACAGAUUGCUUCGCCGGAACACCCAACGUGACGCGAGCUCUUCUUUGUCGAGACUUAUUUGAGUAGCGUACACCAGAGUCUUAAAGCUUCCGCCUUUAGACCUUCACUGUCACCUAAAAGCUUCCCACAGAUUGAAUCUUCGAUUUAGACAAGAAAACUAACCCAGAAGAUAUGAACGCGCUUCCGCACAAAAGUAUAGAACACAACCGAGAGAAAAGAGAAGAAGAUUAAAGAAGAAGAUUAAAGAGUAAAGAUUUAAGUUUUAAGAACCCGCUCUGAUACCAUGAUAAUAUUUGAAGAUUAAGUUGGAAGAAUAGGAAGAACCAUGAUGAGAGAAAGAAGAUGUAUUAGAUUGAUAAGAGUUAGGGUUACAAAUGGAGGCACACUUUAGUACAUAUAGAGAACAAACUCUAGGUCUAAGGGGGUGUGUACAAAGACAAUCAUACCCUCUCUUAGCCUUGUAACCCGAGUAACCCAAGUAACCUGUAACCCGAGUAACCCAAGUAACCUGUAACCCGAGUAACCCAAGUAACCUACAUUUAACCCUUAACUAUGACUUAGUUAGUGUUAAAUGUCUUCUUGAUUAACAACACAUCCUUGAAAAAUAUUCUCCAACUUGUAGGGAUAAUACUCUUUUUCCCUAAGCUUGGUUUUGUCCCACGUGGUUUUCCAAGCUUAGGUUUUUAAUGAGGUUAUUCAUACAAGUGCCAAGUUUAUACACAAUUGGGCAUUGUAAUAUAAACUUGAGGGGGAGUGUUAAUCAAGAAGACAUUUAACACUAACUAAGUCAUAGUUAAGAGUUAAAUGUAGGUUACUUGGGUUACUCGGGUUACAUGUUACUUGGGUUACUCGGGUUACAAGGCUGAAUGAGGGUGCUGUUGGUCUUUGUGCACAACCCAUCUCAGACCUAGAUUAUGUUCUCUAUAUAAACGUGUGUGCCUCCUCAUUGUGUUUGACACAUCUUUUUUUUCAUCAAUACAUUUCUGCUUCUCUCCAAUCUUAAAUCAUGGUUUCAUCAAUCUUUCCUACUUAAAUAUUAACAUUUGAUUCCAAGUAUCAUUUGCAUUUUCUUGAAUUAACCAGAACUUAAAGAUAAAGCUUCCUCCCAAAGUAUGCAAAUGGUGAAAUAUGUGCCUUAGCUAAGGUUUCUUCCAGGGGUGAAUUACCUGACAUCAUAGCUCCAUUUAAGGCCUGUUCCACUAAUCUCUCUUGCCACUUGUUUCCGCUGCUAACAAUGAUUGGAGCAUUUUGGAUCGCUAAAUAACUCUGUGUCCACGAAAACAUCCAUCUUUGAGUCUUUUUUAAGCCUUUAUGCUGAUGACACUGUUGUUUUUUGGAGAUCUCGUCUCCAAUUUUGUAUUUACUAAAGAUAAAAUAUUGUGAAACACCUUUUGAUUCUCGUCGUUGAAGAUACCGAGUCUCACGCCCACUUGCAACAACUGACCUAGGCUUCGAAUGGGAGACGGAGAAAAAGCAGUUCUUCUGCAUAUGUGGGUGAAGCGUUUUUAUUUUGCUAUUCAAGCAAUUUGAAUAAACUGUACGUUUGGUUCAAUUAAAAUAAUAAAAUAAUAGCAAUCAAGUUGCAGACCAAAAUUCAUGAAGUUUUUUCUUGAUCCGCUUACUACAGUAGAACCACCACAAUUAUGAUGGAUUUGUGGUGCAUCCUCUUUUGUUAUUAAUUAUUUAUUAUUAUUUUUUUGAAACAAAUCCAAAAACUUUGAAAAUAUUGAGUUACAUAAUUUUUAAUAACAACACAAUGAAUAAUAAAGGAAAAAAAGAUAGUGAUUAGAAAAUUUUGUCUUACAAUAAUUAAUGAGACAUAAGAUAGUGAUUUUACUUUAUAAAAUUAUACAAACUAAAAAUGUUAUCUGGGCGAAAAAACCUGGAACCAAAGCGAACUGACCCUAAAUAUUUCAAAUCGAACCGAACCUAGAAACGAAAUACCCAAACAAAUCUUAAAUUUAAAUUUAUAUAUUUGAACAACCAUAACAAAACCGAUCUGAACCAAACUACGAAUUGAAUAGAUACCCAAUAUAUAAUUAUAUAUCCAAAAUGUUAAUUAUAUAUAGAUUUGAUAUAACCCAAUUAUUUGAAAUUACAAUUAUAAACUCGAAACAAAGUCUAUAAAUAUUUUUACAUAGAAAUUUGAAACAAUUACAUGUUUUUAAAAAAAAAAAAAAAACAAUACAAUAAUUUUAUUUUAAUAUAAUUUAUCAUGGUAUGUAUAAUAUUUAAUUUAAAAUUAAUAUUUUUAUAAUAGAAAUAUUUCACUCGCAUCGUAUGAUCCAUUUUCACCAUUCAACGCAUAUUAAAAGCGUUCGAACCGCUAGAUCCGCUUUUGUACCGCUAGAUCUGCUUGAUCCGCUUUUGUUCUGCUUGAUACGCUUCAUCCGCUUGAUCCGCUCCGCCCGAUACGCUUUCUCCAUUCGGAGCCCUAGUCUUGCGCCUCUCAUAUUUUCAUGAUUUUCCAAAAGAAAAAACACAACAUCUCUCCCUCUCCUUUCUUCUUAAAAUUGUAAGUGUCUCAAGAGUAUAACAUAGAGAAAUUAUUUUCAAAAUUUCGUCGCUUAACAAUUAAAAUUGCCACCAUUUAUUAUUUUUAAUGUUCACAUUGGUUCUUACCACUACAAAUUAAUUACCACAUUUUUACCGGUUGAAUUCAUAUGUUUUAUAUAGUAUUGUUGUAAACAAAAUUUCAAAAACAAAAUAAUUUUAGAAGAUUAUCCAGUUAUCCAUUUUUUAUUUAUAUAUUUUAAAUAUAAAAUUCCCAAUAAAAUAAAAAAAUUAAAAUGAUAGAAAAUAAUUAAGACAUUAUAGUUUAGUACUAAAUCCACACAACGCGUGGGGUCGAUUUCUGGUAUAGAAGAAAGCCACGCACAUCAUCCAUUUGGGAGCAUUUUGCAAAGUAAAUGUUGCUACCGUCAUUUUUUUGCCAAUUUAUCUAUUGUUGAUUUUCUACACACUAAGCCAAUGUUAUUAGUUUGUGAUUUAAAUACUGUUUUGAUUACUUUAGUAAAAUCAUAGAAAGUAAAUAAAUGGUAGACUCUAAACGAGUAAUAGAGAGUUUUCUAUAAUCUUAUUAAUUAGUUUUUCCAUAAUCUUGUAAAGUUUUUCAAACAAUCUCUCUAUUUUGUUAAUAAUUUUCAUGACUUUAUUUUCUAAAUAAAAAUGUAUAAAAUCAUAAACCAAUAACAUAAUAAUUUAAUUCAUUAACAAUCGUAAAUUCUUUUGAUUUAGUUGAAUAACACAAAAAGUUUAUUGACUUUACACAAUUUUGAAUCCAAUAAUUUAUGAAGAUUUUAGAAAACUUUUUACAAAUCAAAAACUAAUAACACUAGACUUUAAUAGAAUUUUAUAAAAUCUUGAAUGUGUCACAUUGUCAUUUAUGGUAAGUAGUAUCCAAAAUAAUAAGCUUAAAUAGAGGAUCCUCACCAUCAACUUCCACUCAUCAUCACAACUUCAACUUUUCAAUACUCAGAUUAACAAUGACGAUUUUCUCCACAUUACAUCUUCUCUUCUUCUCCUUCAUCAUAGCCACAUGUAUACAUAAAACAUUUCCAACAUUUUCUGAUUACUACUUUGAUUUAAUAAUUUAUCUCAUAUAAGAUUUUUGUUUUCUAUCUAAUAAUUUAUUUUGAAUUGUAUAUUCUUUCAAGGUACAAUUUCCAUUGUCUCCGGCACCGUCUUCACUUUAUCGAACCGCUGCAGCUUCACCGUCUGGCCCGGAAUCCUAACCGCAAAAUCAAGACUAAUCGGCGACGGCGGAUUUGCCUUACCUUCAGGAUCUUCUGUUAACUUAACCGUUUCUCCAGGUUGGUCCGGUCGAUUCUGGGGUCGAACGGGUUGCAACUUCGACGCCUCGGGUUCCGAAAAAUGCACCACCGGAGACUGCGGCGGCAAGUUAAAAUGCGCCGGCGCAGAAGGAGCUCCACCAACCACACUAGCCGAAUUCAGAAUCGGCUCCUCCGGAAAGGAAUACGCCGUACAAGAUUCCUACGACGUGAGCCUCGUCGACGGUUACAACGUUCAGAUGAAAAUCAAUCCACAAGGUGGCUAAGGCAAUCGUAAAACCGCGGGAUGUGUUUCGGACGUGAACGCUAUUUGUCCGAACGAGCUACACGUUACGGACUCGAAGGGUGUUGUGGCAUGUAAGAGUGCUUGUGAGGCUUAUCAACAAUCGUGAAACCCUCAUUAAAUGUAAAAUAUGAUACAGAGAAAGCUUAAAUACUAAGAGAGAUAACCUACUAUAAACAUGAUAGAUAACCAAAGAUAACCGCACUAUAUUCAACACUAAACAGGAGAGAUAUAAUCUCUAAUACGCCCCCGCAAGAUGGAAGUAUGACAUCUUGGAUUUGAAAAUUUAUGUGCUCAAAAAGACUUUUAUGAGAAAGCAACAGUCUCAUUUUCUUCCAUGUAGAAAGACUUGACACCUUCAUAAACUGGAUUAUAGAGAAAUGAAUCACAUGUCGUCCUCUUCUUCAAUAGCCAUGAGAACUUGAGAGAUCUUAUUUGCCGUGAGUGGCUUGAAUCCAAGAUGAGCUUGAUAAAACUGUUAAGUAUCACAAGUGAAGAAUACUGCUCAAAGAACCUUGAAGUCUCCAUGAGUUUGUAGCCAAGUAACAUCACAAACCAGCCAUAGGAGUAGCAAGCCGUAGACAAGUAAAGGGCAUCGUCACUUUUAACCCAAACAUUCUCUUACCAAAACCAUGUCCACAAAAUAAUUCUGCUACUAAAAUCUUGAGGAUGAUGAUUUUAUAGAGGCCAUAGCAAUGAUCCAAAGAGGAACCAAUUGUUCUUAAUUUCAUAGUACCACCAGAAUGUGAUCCGAAAUUGUAAACAAUGGAGUCGGCUUGUCCGUUCUGUGAAUCCCACUUACAUAAGAAAGCUUGUCGUGAACAAAUGAUGAUUGUAGAAAGAAUUGCAGAGUCUGUACAUCAAUCACAAUGGCAUGGAAACAAAACCAGCUAUAGGAGGAGCUAUCACUUGCAAUCCUCCAAAGUUCAGCAAAAACAUGACAACAAUGUCAUAAUCCAUGGCGAUUAGAAGUAGAAAGUCAUAGCAAACUUCAAGAAUGGUUGGUAAUGUUGAGACCAUUUCCAAUGAAGAAGCUUUCUCGCUAACACGGCAAAACACAAGAAGAUCAACCACAGAUGCAGCUAGGUCGAAGCAUCAUGUAUCAAUCAUCAAUAUAAUAGUUCUGCCUAAACCGUUCUAACUGAAGCUCAACAUCAUCACCAACGAAGACAAUUCCAGAAUCUACAAAUAUCAUUCCAGAAGCUAAAUUCAUACUGAGAAAUGGCAGUAUCCAUGAACAUAUAACAUCAAACAUGAACCAGAGUAUGAAUGACUUUCCGGUGGUCACGUAAGAGAUCCAAAAAUGUAACCAUUUAGCAGAAUCAUGAGCUGGAAUGAGCAUCAGCUGAGAAGAUAUCACCAUUAUACCAAAUCUCAAACGCAGAUCGACUGAAACUGAUGAAAUCAAGCUCAAUCUAGAAGCUGAGAUAGUCAAAUCGAAUAAGAGAAACUGAAAUUGAGCAAUUGAAGCUCAAAUCGAGAUAUACGAAGCUCGCUUUUGACGAAACAGAGCUCGAUUCGAAGACAAACACGAUCAAUAUUGAUGAAUCAAUCGUAUGAUAAAAGAUCAAUCUGAUCCAGAAAAAAUAGUCGAAUGUGACAAUGCGAUCAACUUGAUCGGAAUGUAGACGAAGCAAUGAAAACGAUAUAACAGAAUCACGAUCGAUUUUGAUGAAACGAUCGGAAGAAAACAGAUCAAGAUCGAAGAUUAAUGAUCAAGAUCGAUGAUAACACGAUCAAUUAUGAUCGGAAAGAAGAUGAACACGAUCAACUUUGAUCGGAAACAGAAAUUGAUUAAAGAAAAAAAAAAAAUAACAACCGGAAUCGAAACAAGAUUAAGAUUUCGCCGGUGAAGAAACAGAUCGAAGAACAAAAAAAAACGAAGAAACAGAUCGGAGAAGACGAUGGAUUGAUCGGAAAAAUCAAUUAGUCGGAGAUAUAAACCGAUCAAGCGAUAAGAAAUCAAACGGAGGACCAAAAUCUCAAAGAAAAUCGAGUGACGAAUUGAAAAAGAACAACAAUGAAAUCAGAGAAUCGAAUUAAGCGGAAGAAGUGAAUGAAGGUUGGGGAAUUUGCUCUGAUACCAUUUCAGAUCUAACAAACUUUACUUUUCAAUUAUGAUUUUACUUCAUUCAAUCGUAAAAGAUGUACAAAGAAAACCUUAAAUACUAAGACUCUUAACCAAAGUUGAUAACCAAGCUAUACAUAAAUUACUAAACCAACUAAACCAAUCUAGUGAUAUCUAAUACUAACGCGAUCAACUCUGAACCAGAAGAAAUAGUCGAUUGCGACUAUGAUAAACGCGAUCAACUUGAUCGGAAUGAAAACGAAGAACAAUGAAUACGAUAUAACAGAAUCACGAUCGAUUGUGAUGAAAUGAUCGGAAGAAAAAACAGAUAAGAUCGAUGAUUGAUGAUCAAGAUCGAUGAUAACAAGACCAAUGAUUAUCAGAAUGAAGAUGAACACGAUCAGCUUUGAUCGGAAACAAAGAUAGAUGAAAGAAAAUAAAAUAACAACCGGAAUCGAAACAAGAUUUCGCCGGUGAAGAAACACGAAAUCGAACACGAUCAACGCGAUCGGAAUGUAACACGAUCGGAAAAGCAAGAAAACGAAGAAGAAAGUAGAAAAUCUCCGAUGAAAAUGUCGAGAAUGAAUCGGAGAAAAAGAUGAUGAUAGAUGCAAGAGGUAUGAACAAAGAAUGAAAGAUGAUUUGAGCUUGCGGAAGAAGAAUGAAGUUUGACGAAGCAAAGCUUGAAGAAGAAAAAAAUUGCUCUGAUACCAUAUCAACAAUCGUGAAACCCUCAUUAAAUGUAAAAUAUGAUACAGAGAAAGCUUAAAUACUAAGAGAGAUAACCUACUAUAAACAUGAUAGAUAACCAAAGAUAACCGCACUAUAUUCAACACUAAACAGGAGAGAUAUAAUCUCUAAUAAGGCUUUUAACAAACCGGAGUAUUGUUGCACCGGCGCUUUCAAUAGACCGGAGACUUGUCCGCCGAAGAAAUACUCGAAGAUAUUCAAAGGAGCUUGUCCCACUGCGAAUAGCUAUGUAUACAAUUAUGCUUCGAGUAGAUUUACUUGUAAUAAUAUGCCAAUUACGUUAUCAGUUUCUGUUCUUAGGCAUAAUAGCCUUCCUUAUUCUUUUAUCAAUGAAUAAAGAAUAAAUCAGUUUUUAACAUAGUUUUAUGUUUUUUCCUUUACAAAAAAACUUAAUUAAUGCCAUGUUUUUAUAACAAAUAAUACACAUAGCCAUUAUAUUAUCAACGAGGUAGACAAAUUUAAUCAGUGUUUCUAAAAUAAGAUGAAGGUAACUUAUUGUUUUUUUUUUUUUUUUUUAACGGCAAAUCAAUUAUAUUAUAUCAUAAAAAUGUUACGUCAUACAUGAUACAUGAACCAUUAAAAUACAACCAUUGAAUAAAAUAAAGGAAAUUGAACACAAUUUCGAUGAAGAAGUGGAAGUAACCCUGCUUUCCAAACGAAAGCCUUAUAGGCAACAGAUGACAUCUGUUAAGUCCCCUCUUCAUAUACUCGUAAAAGGCUAACAUCUUGUAGAUGAAAUUCCCAAAUGCUUUCCGCAUCACUUUGAAUAAACGAACACACUGAUAUAUUGCUUGAAAUGGUUCUGAAUCAUGUCUUUUAUAACGCCUUAUCCAUCGUUGUCGGUUAGUGACCAUGAUUUGCUCUUCCAUAAAACCUGAGUAAUCCAAUUGAGGGAUAAUAUGGACAUCACCAUCAUCGGACAGUAUCCAUGACCAGAGGAUGUUAUCGUGAAUGCCACUUCCUUCAAUCAGGAGGAUUUGUCUAUUAAUUCCCGGAUCAAAUACCCAAAUGACUUCUCCAAACCAUAGAUUAGGAGAAACUUCAUCGGUUGACAACCGGAGAUGACGACGGUGAUAAGGAUCACCGGAAACAAACUUCUUCCGAAAGAAGAGAAAAAUAAAGCAAUAUUGAAUAGAAAACUUCAUAGCUUAUUGUUUUUUGUUUUAUAAAGCUUAUUACAUAUCAAAUUAUAUUUGAGUAAAUCGUUUUUUUUCUAAAUUUCUUUCAUAGCAAAUUUUAAACCAAAUCAAUAAUAAUUUCAUCUCUAAUUGUCUAAUGUAUAUCUAUGCAUGCGGGUAAAUAAAUCUUCAAUAUGUUUACUUUAAGAAUAAAAGAUAUGGUAAUUGAAGUACAAAAUCUUGUUUUUUUUUGCUUUGCUGUCAACAAUUUACCAUUAAAUCAAAGAUUUCAUCAAUUUAUGAAAUGUUCUUUUUUGAUGACACUUUAUCUACUACCAAACACAAAAUGAUCAUCUAUACUAUCAAAAUGAUCCUAGUAAGAAUAAUUUUGGAGUCAGACAUGUAUUAGGACUAUUCUUUAGUUAGCCUAAACUUAAAUGGCCACUUUAACAUAAAGUAAAAAUCUCUGCAUCUAUUUUAUCAAAGACAAGUUUUCGAAUUUGCUUUGAGAGAAGAAAUCCCAAGUUCAGAUCUUGAUCUAAAAAUCUUUCAAUUGUAAAGCUUAUGUUGAUUUAGUGGUUUAUCAAAUGAUGUAUUAUAUAUAACAUAUCAAUAAAUCGAAUGCUGGAAAAAAAAAAGAACAAUAAAUCGAAUAGGGGAUGAAGAAAAUAUCACGACAAACUCAUUAUUUCCCACAUCCUAAUUUUAUCACUAAAGUGGUAAAAACAACCUGAACCUUAUGGGUCCCGAGUGCUGUUUAGUCUAGGUUUUGGUCUGAGAUCCUGGUAAAAAAAAAAAGGAAAAAAAAAGUUUUUUUUUUUUUAUCAACAGCUUUUAAUUAAAAUUCAAAAGAACCCUGGGGACUGUUGUUUACAUAAGUGAUAUGAUGCGGUUCGGUACGAACAUUUCGUGCCAAAUUAUCCGCUUUUACAUUUGCAUUACGAAAAAUUAAAGAUAAAGAGAAGCUUGAAAAUUUCUCCUUGUCGCUCUUGAUUUAUUCCAAAUAUGCUGAAAAAGCCGGCCAUUCGGUUGGGGAAGACACCAUCUUCACCAGAUCUGAACAGUCUGUAUAAAAAGCUACAUCUUGGUUGUCGGCUCCAAUCAUACACUUCAUCGCCCAGAGAAGAGCUUCCACUUCGGUAUGUAAAGCUGAGAGACUUCUUCGGAUAUUGGCUGCUCCCAUAGUUGGCGCCUCUCCAUGUGAUGAUGUGCAGAACCACCCCGUUCCUGAAAAUUUAUCAGUCUCUUUCCAUGAUCCAUCCACGAAACAACGAUAUCCGGAAUAUAUAGUAUCAUGUGAAAUAUCUCUCUCUCGAACUCGUGUUUCGCAGUUUGAAGGACCACGAUUUUCAUUAAUAAGCUCGAAUUGGGCUAGUUGCCAAGAUUGCGCCUCUUUUUCCGCUAAACAUAAAACCUCCAGUGGGUCUUUAUCCACAUUUUCAAAGAUCUUUUCGUUUCGAACUUCCCAAAUAUACCAAAUUAUCCAUGGAAAUGAAGAUGAAUCCACCUCUGAAGGAAUUCUCCAAAAAAGGUGAUCCAAAUUCGCAUAAAUUGAAGUCGUUGGGAAGAUUUCUGGGGCCGUAGGAAUAUGAGAUAAUGCCCAAAUUUGUCUCGCUGGAUGACACUCAAACGUGUAUGAUUAAUUGAUUCCUCUAUCGCACCACAUCUGCCACAUCCUGUAUCACAAUUUAUACCUCUUUCCGCAGAUUUUCUGUAAACGGUACACAACCCGAUAGAAUUUGCCACAUAAAAUGACGUAACUUAGGCGGACACUGCAUCUUCCAAGUAUGUGCUUUUAGAGAUUUAAAAUUUGGGCCAAUAAACGAUAAAUUGGCUUCUAAAUCCUCUAGCCGCGCCGUAUGAUAACCAAAUUUAACUGUAUAUUUUCCGGAUUUUGUGAAAUGCCAACCAAGGGAAUCCUCCUUAGUUGGCGCACCCAAAGGUAGGGCACUAAUCAGCACGACAUCAGCACGACAUUUUCCGGAAAAAAAAGUUAUUUUUAAAACUUUUAGUUUUUAGUUUCUGUAUUAAAGAAAAAAAAACGAAACAAUGUUAAAACUUAUAAGACUAAUGUAAAAAGAAUAAAAAAAAUAGGGAAUCUUGCGAGAUGUAUCACUUUUUGACGAUUCCCUUCGAAAUCUACCACAAUUGGAAAAAGUUUUCUGUUUCUACCACUUUUUUUGCCAUGUGAUAAUUUGUUGACGAGUUUGCCCUUGAUGGCGAUGGACUGAUUUGUCAGAAAAAAGGACAGCUGCAUUAAUUGUACUCGGGGACAAUUUUUGUUACAUUCAGGGACAAAUUUUAUUACACUUAGAGACAAGUUUUUCCCCAAAACUAGUAAAGUAAAAAUAAUUUUAAAACAAGAUUUAGUCAUAGACAUGGACUUAAACGCAUCUUUCGAUAAUAAUUUCAGAAGAAAGAAAAACAAAAACUGGGGACAACGAGAAUCGAAAGAGAUAAACAAUGAUUUUUAGAAAAUCAAAUGACUAAAUCGGAGGAUAAAUAAGUAGGAACAAGAUCUGGAUCUUGAUGAAUAAUGGAGAAGACUGGAUCUUGCAACUUCGAUAUUGCCGGAGACGAUCGAGAGGAUUACAAUCGCCGGGAACUGUUAUAAUGAUAUGACGUGAUAGAGAACAAAGACAUAUUGUUUGACUUUAAAGGAUAAAUAUGAGCAAUCUUCGGCCAGGGUAUUAUAGUCUUCUUAUGUGGACCUUAUGGCAUAGGAGAAAAGAUUAUAACGAACAUGGCACUUUGUAUAAGUUUUGUCACUGUUCAUGGCACUGACGCUAAGGGCAUCAUCAAUGGGGGAUCAUGUGAGGGUGUUCUUAGAGAAAAUAUAAUGUUAAAAUAAUGUAAGAUCAUGUGUUUAGAUCUUUUAUUUAGAAGUUGAUUAGUGAGAGAACAUGUGUAAGAUCUUAAGAUUUAAUAAUAUAAUAAUAAUCUACAAAUUUUAAAACAUAUUACAAUUAUUAAAACAUUUAAAAAUAACAUAUUAAUUGCAAACUUUAAAAACUGAAAAUAAAAGUGAAAAUACAAUACUAAAUAUUUAUGAAAAAAACAUUAAAAAUAUAAAUAACAAUAAACAAACAAACAUAUUACUUAAUAAAAGCACAAAAACAGUUUAUCUAAUUAAUACAUAGUUUAUUAUCCAAAUUUAUUCCAAAUAUGUUGAAUCAAAUCCUUUUUUAAUUGGUGAUGUGCUUGUCUAUCACGAAUUCUUGUAUGCCCAUCACCUAAACCUUCAAGAUUUGUAGCCAUAUUUACUGAAAACGUAAGAUCCCGAGGUAUUUCGGUUUCAUCGUCUUGUCGGAAUUCAUUUUCGUCAUAGAGAGUGUAUGAAUCUCGCUCAUCUUCGACAAUCAUAUUAUGGAGUAUGAGACAAGCUCUUAUAAUAUAUGCUAUUUUACCUUUCGACCAUAAAAGAGAUGGAUUUUUAAUCAUGGCGAAUCUAGAUUGCAGGACUCCAAAUGCACGCUCAACAUCUUUUCGUGCACCUUCUUGACGUUCAGCAAACAAACUAUGUUCCGGGUGUUGUGGUUUUGGGAUGGAUUUAACAAAUAUCGCCCAUUCGGGGUAAAUGCCAUCCGUCAGAUAAUAAGCCAAAUUAUACUCCCAAAUUAUCACUAAAAUAAUCGUUCCACAAACGUUCAUGCCCUUCUUCCCGUUUUCUAUCGAUAUAUGUACGUUUCUUCCUCUCGGCCGGAAUUUCCUCUUCCACCGGAAUUUCCUCUUCAGCAGCUUGAAAUUGAUUAUGAAAUUGAGCUUGAAAAAAUUGGUUAAAACUAUCAUUAUUCGGAUCAUAAUGGUAGUGAAAAUUAUUGGAAGAAGAAGCCAUAAAAACUUGGGAGAGAUUAAACUUGGAAUUUGUAGAUAGAGAAAAUAAACUUGGAAUUUGUAGAUAGAAAGAGAAGAAAAUUGUAUGUUCGUUGGGAGAGAAGGAAAUGUUUUCUUGGUUUGUUUUAUGAAAGAAGUGUAUGUUUGAUGAAAUACAAUCUUCUGCUCGUUUUAAAUAUUUAUAGAGAGUUGCAAGUUUGUGUGGGAAAAGGCAUUUGAUACAUCCAUAACGUCAAGUUGAUACAUCAAGACAAACACAUGUGAACUUUGGUCUUUCAUACAAACAAAAGCUUGUGACUCUUGUCAAAUUUUGUUUUCCAAAACAUACAAAACAAAUGCACGUGAGUCUGGCUUUAAAACUGUGCCUACAAUCAUACAUUAUAUGCUGAACUUGCCGACUACUCUAAUUUACUUAAUAAACAUGAUGAGUGCCACUACCAAAACACUCAUACUGAAGCAAACAACAACUACCAAUUCAGGGGCCAAGUUGAACAAUGGUUUCUUCUCACCUAACUCAGUAACAAGCCUCUCCAGUUUCACCAACCUCUGAUCUGAAUGGUUUUGGUCGUCCUUGAACUUCAUCAGUUCUGUCUCAUAAUCAGGUUUUGUUGGUUCAGCAUCACAGCUCCACAGACUCCUCUUCACAAUCUGAGGUUGUAGAUGAUAGUAACUGCUAUCUUCCUCCUCUUCAGAACUGUAGUCUAAUGGGCUGUUUAUCCCAUAGUCAUAGAUAUCAUCAAGUCCCAUGUCUUAUUCAACCUGAAACCAAAAAACAGAAAGCAAUCAAAAUGAAGAAUGCAAUCAGAUAAUCAGCUUGCCAAAGCUCAUUAAACAUGAGAUAUAUAAGAAUGCAAUCAGAAUACAAAACCAAAGCAAUCAGGAUUUAGGAAACAAACAUAGCCGAUUCAUUAAAAACAUAAGAGAACAAGUUGAACAAUGUUACAUAUCUGAUUCAUAAACACAUUAAAAACAAAAGACAAACAUAGUUAAAACAAACAUAAGACCAACAGACUUAUCAUCUAGUGUUUAUUCUAAGUUAAAAAAAGUUCAGCAACUAGCUUCUUCUUUACAACUUUGUCUUCUUCAUCCAGAUUUUCUUUCUUGGCAAUUAGACUGUCAAGAAUGGACAGCUUUUGGAGUUCUUUCAUUCCCUCCAAAUCCUUCUGUUUUAGCUCAAACAUUUUACUAAACUCAGCAGAUGGUGAAGCAGAUGCAGCAGAUGGUGAAGCAGAUGCAGCAGAUGGUGAAGCAGAUGAUGAGGCCUUCUCUUUACCUUUGGUCUUCCUUAAUUUUUUCAUUGCCUUUAUGCCAGGAGGCCUACUCUCGUGCUCACCUACUACAGAGCCUGAAGAUGGUGCAGCAUCAUUGGCUUUGCGUUUGUUAGAACUGGUUGACUUAUUAGGAGUGGGGUUCAUAGUCUCCAGGUUUAGCCAUUUUUGUUCAUAGCGAAGAACAUUCCAAGCAUACUCCAAAGCAAACUUCUUCUUGUAAAUAUUAGUGUAGAUUUGGUGAGCAUUCUGCAGAAUAUCCUCUUCAUUCAUGCCACUAGCUUUCUCAUCAUAUGCCUCUGCAUAAGUUCCACAGAACCUGCUCACUGCUCUACUGAUUUUUUGCCAUCUUUGUCUACAAAGAUCAUGGCGUCUUGGCUCAGCACCACCAAGUACAUGAGUACUUGAUGCGUAAUAAUCUCCUAUCCGCUUCCAAAAGGACCCUCCCUUUUGAUCAUUCCCAACUAUUGGAUCUUUAGAGGUGUUUAACCAGCCGCUUAUUAAGACUAAGUCAUCUUGUGUGGACCAUAUCCUUCUCUCCCUACGUUGUUCUGCUGUCUCUUCUGGUUGACUAGGAGGUUGACUUGGCUGUGAACUAGUUUGUGAACUAAAAGGAGGGAUUUGGGAGGAACCAAUGUUUGCAUUGCGAUCAAAGCCAUCAUAUGGGAAGUUAAGAAGGCUGAAGUAGGAUUGAGACUGACUAUUAUUUGGAGUAUUAUUUGGUUCCAUAGCAUUCAGAGGAAGAGAGAUUAUUGGCUAGAAGAGAGACUAUUGGCUUGGAGAGAGAUUAUUGGAUCAGAGAAGUAGAAGGUAUGAGAGAUUUAGUAUUGGCUUGGAUGUAAUAUAGAGAAGUUAAGAAGUUCAUUAAAGUGUAGUGUUGUUAAAGACUUUUAAUUCUAAAUAACCAUUACCUACUUCAGUCACUUCAGAAGUAAAUGAAGGUCAUUGAGUGUUUUUUAUAAGUAAACCAAAAAAGUUUGGUUGUGUUAACGCAUUGAACUCAACUAGAAUAUCCUAAGAAUUCAUAUCAUCUAGCAAUUCAGUUUUGUUAAAGCAUUAAGGGUUAGGUUUCAUAUAAAUCAGUUUUAAAAUUGCAAGACCAUCACAACUCAAGUGGAAACAGGGAUCAUUAUCCAAAUUGCAAGACCAUCUUAUCCAAAUUGCAAGACAAUCACAAAUUGCAAGACAAUCACAAAUUGCAAGACAUAAACCAAUCAAACAUCCGAGACCAAUCCAAACCUUUAAUUGUCAGAUUAGAUGAAACCCUAUAACAUUUAUACUAAACCCAAACCUAAUUCACAAAUUUCAAGACCCAAAAUCGAUGAAACAUAACUGAGAGAGGACACGAGGGGACUACCUUGUCUAUUUCGCCGGAGAUGAGAUUUGGGAGACAAAGGAGACGAGGAUACAAAGGCGUAAGGAAAGGAAUUCGACUUCGACUUCAAAUCGCCGGACCUAUGAAUCGACAAAGAAGACAUUUUUAACGGAUGAAAUUCACAAAACUAUGUACAGAUCGAUUUCUACAUGGAAGAGAUCUCGAUUUUGGUGUUUUAAUGGCCGGAAAACACACCUUAAUCGGAGAAGAUGAUGAGCUAUCGCCGCUUUGGAGAGGAAGAAGGAAACCUAGUCGCGAUUUUGAUUUUUGGAGAAAUGAAAAUGUUUUCUCCUUUGCAAAAAAGCGGAUCCAAUCACGGGCUGACACGUAGACCAGGAACAAGGCUUAAAACAGAUCUCGGGCGAGAUCACUUCCCUCUGAUCCAAGCCCACUAUUCAUUUUUCUCAAUUUUUAUAUUCCUAAGCACAUGGCCCAUGAUCUGCCAAUGCAGAUGGCCUAAUAAACUCUAAAAAAUAAAGAGAAGUUAAAAUGACUUUUAGAAUUAAAUAACGUAAAACGACAUCGUUUAGUCAAAAGUUUCUACUAUCCAUGUAUGUGGUGGAGCAAGGUCCAAUGGUUGAACAAGCAACCUUGUGAUCUAUUUUAGUAGAAGAAGAAGCAAACAUUUAAACAUUGUCAUCGAUUCCUGUAAUAAAAGACUCCUCCAUGGCGGUUCCAUUUCUAAGCUCUUCUCUUCAACUCACACCCACUUCUCCGAUUCUCUUCACUAAACUAACACCACCAAUAAUCCACAACCAGAGACCAACAACAUGCACUGUACCCACAAAACCGCGUCUACGUCUCCUCCGCCGUUCCGCCGUCGCUGGAACCGCCGUAGCUGAUCAAAUAGAAGGAGGAGGAGAGGUUCUUUUAAACCUUGAAGAAGAGAAACGUGUUGAGGUAGCGGAUUAUGAUUGGACAGAGGAAUGGUACCCAUUGUACCUCACUAAAAACAUCCCUGACGAUGCGCCGCUUGGUCUCACCGUCUACGAUCGUCAAAUAGUAUUGUAUAAAGAUGGUGAAGGAACACUUCGCUGUUACGAAGAUCGGUGUCCUCAUCGGUAAGAUAUCAUCAUCUAGCAAAACCGCAACCACUAGUUUUUUUUUUUUUGUUUAGGAAUCUGAAAUUGAGUUUUGUCUUUUUUUUUUUUUUUUAGUUUGGCUAAGUUGUCUGAAGGACAAUUGAUUGAUGGAAGAUUGGAAUGUUUGUAUCAUGGUUGGCAAUUUGAAGGAGAGGGUAAAUGUGUCAAGAUUCCUCAGGUUCUUUGUUUUACUGAUUUUGCUAUUUAGAGAUUUUGUCUUCACUCUUGAACUUACUGGUUUUGGGUUUUCUUUUUAACAGCUUCCUGCGAGUGCUAAGAUUCCAAAGGCGGCUUGUGUGAAGACCUAUGAGGUGAAGGAUUCACAAGGAGUUGUAUGGGUGUGGAUGUCAACAAAGACACCUCCAAACCCUGAAAAGCUUCCUUGGUUUGAGAAUUUUGCUAGACCUGGUUUUUUCGACAUUUCGACUACUCAUGAGCUUCCUUAUGAUCAUUCCAUUCUUCUUGAGAAUCUGAUGGAUCCUGCUCAUGUUCCUAUUUCUCAUGAUAGAACUGACUUCACUGCUAAAAGAGAAGAUGCUCAGCCUCUGGUUUUUGAGGUUACAGAGAGAAGUAAUCGGGGUUUCGCAGGGACUUGGGGUCGAGAGAAAGACGGAGGGAAAGGGAGUAAUUUACUUCGGUUUGAUGCUCCUUGUGUUCUGCAGAAUAAUCGAGAGUUUGAGGGGAAGGAUGGAGUGAAGAACUAUUUUUCAGGGCUGUUUCUUUGUAGACCUACAGGGCAAGGGAAGUCUAUGCUUAUUGUUAGGUUUGGGGUCACAAAAAGAUCGCCUUUGGUUUCGGUGUUACCUCAAUGGUUCUGGCAUCAGAAUGCCUGCAAGGUUUUUGAACAAGACAUGGGGUUUCUAUCGUCUCAAAACGAGGUUCUGAUGAAGGAGAAAGUACCAACUAAGGACUUGUAUUUAAAUCUAAAGUCAUCGGACACAUGGGUCGCUGAGUAUAGAAAGUGGAUGGACAAAGUUGGUCACGGGAUGCCUUACCAUUUCGGGCAUAGGACCAUAUCUCUCCCCAAGGUCCCUCCUGUAGUGGAACAUGCCCCUGCAGGGCUCAUUGCAGCUCUCUCGGCUUCUUACCCUGCAAAAGGCGGAAUUGGGACUAUGCACGCUCCCAAUUUGGCUAACCGGUACUUCAGACAUAUUAUUCAUUGUAGAAGCUGCAGCAAUGUGAUCAAAUCUUUUGAGCUCUGGAAAAAUAUCCUCUCUGCCACGGCAGUGGCUUUGACAACUUUGGCCAUUCUGGUGGUUAGUAGACAGUGGAAGGCUGUCCUGUUAGGUUCGGCAGCAUUGUGCUCGGCCGCAGCUUAUGCCUGCUUAAGAGCUAUAAAUCUAAACACCAAUAACUUCAUUAGAACACACAGAAGACUAUGAAAAUGUAUAUUGGCAUGUCUCCUCUUCAUCCAACAAUAUGUAUUUCAUGAAAUAUUUUUUUGCUUGUAAACGCAAUUAUAUAAUUCAGAAGGUUCCAGUGUUUGCCAUCAAUCUUACAGUUUAACCAUGGAAUUUCUGUUAAACUGAAAUAAGGUUCUAUGUUCUAAAACUUGAGCCAUUUCUUCUCUUUCUCUUUGCUUACUACAGCAUUUGAGGCAGCUUCUUGGGAUGCUAAUGUAUUUGCCAAUGCCUUUCGGACUUCUUUCAAUCUUCUCGUCGCAGCCUCUGAAACAACUUGAUCUUUCUUGUUUCUGUUCACCAUCUGUUCUAGUUUCAUCAUUUCUAACUUCAAGUCUUUGACUUCGUCUUGGUAUGCAACCAGAUCUUUCCUGUCUACUGGACCUUUGUUUUCCCUCUUUUUUACAGACUCUAUGCUGUUAACUUUCUCAUGGUGAGUAGGAAAAAUUUGUUCGUUGAUUAAGCUAAACAAAUCUGGCUUCGAUUCCUCUUCCUGUUUCGCUGCUUUAGCUGCUUCUGCAAACUUCUUCUCACGCUUCCUUUUGCCACCUCUGCUCUUUUUCUUCUUUUGUUUCUCGCUUUUACAUUCCCCAUUCCUAAUGUGCUCAAGAGCAUAAUCCAGUGACCGCUUUGCAGGAAGUACUUUUAAUAAGAUGGGAUUUAAUAUCCCUUGGCCAGAGACACCAAGACCCAUCCCUUCACGGUAACCCAUACUUGCCAUCAUCUUCGAAGCUAUUCCUCUAGUGUGAUUCUCCCACUUAGCAAAUAAGGCGGUGUCAGUUUGGACGCCUCUUGGUAGAUUUGUGCUUUCUAGAAAACCUAUGCCUUGUGGAGACUCUUCAUCAUAAUCACUUGAAACAGAAUCUUCAGUAUCUGAAGCACUCAGUUCUUCAUCCUCCUCGUCCUCCUCUUCCCCAUCAUCAUCAGUCAUCUGAGCGAACUCGGAUAAUGCCAAAGCAUCAGAUCCUAGCUUCGCGGAGCUUCUAUCAUCUCUGAAAACAACUCCGCCUACUUGUAACUCAUCAUCCCAUGAUUCAAGUUCAGCCUUUCUCCAUAUAUCAUAUUUACUGCCAGAAACUGCCCAAAUUUUGGAGCCUACCAUCGAUUGCUUCCACUUAGUCUGUUCAUAGUUCUUCAGAGAAGAUAUCGGCACAUCUAGUCCUGCAUCAAUGUCUUGCAGUUAACAACCAGAAUGACAAACCGGCUUCAUUUCCAACUUCUAAAGUUCUAAUGUGGCGAAGAUAUGAAUAUAUAAUACACAAACGAUAAUGAUAAAUAUGAUGAUCACAUACCAUGUGAUGAACGACAGGAACUGCCAUACCGACACCUCUGCUGCGUGAAAAACUUGCAAAUCUGCACAAGUGCGGUGCAGCGUUAGUAUCAAAGACACAAAACAGCAAUUGCAAAGAAAUGCCAGCAGUAACCGUCUCACAGUUACUCUUUCACAGCCAUUAUGCCUAUAGCAAAACCUAAUCCAGCUACAUAGACAAGCAAAACUGAGGCUUUCAAUAAACUCUAGCCACCCUAGCUAAUGACUAUGGAACUAAAGACUACAAAGAACUCACCAUCAUACUCUCGGAUGUGGGUGUAAGGAAAGAGAUCUUUGCAGAAUCAGAACCUUCAAAUCCGAUAAUACGACCAUUAUACCAACGACCAUCGGUAUGUCGAAACCUACAUUUCGAUCCAUCCAAAUCCUUUUUCUCUGGCUCCAAUUCAUCCAAAUCUUUAACUCCAGCAUCAUGAUUUAGACCAUUCAACACUAUAUCAGCUUCUUGCAAUAACCGAGCUCGUUUUAAGUGCAAAAGCCCUUCCUCCACCUCUUUGAUUGCAAAAAUAAGUUCUUCAUGGACCUUAAAAUACACAAAACCACCACAACAUGAGAUUAAGAACACAAAUUGCUGAUAAUGAACAUCAAGAUUUUCACCUCUAGCUACUUUAAGAAUAAGAUUAUCAACACAAAAGAUACAGAGCAAUCACAAAUAUUGUUGAAUCGUAGUUCUUCAGGAAAUUUGGGGAUCUGAUUUCAGAGAAGAAAAUUUACCGAGAGGAGUUCGGGAUUAGAAGGGUCAGAGAUUAGGGCUUCGUCAAUGGCGGAAAGAGAUUCUUUUUGUUCCUGUAGCUGAAUGUCAAGAAGAUCUUCCAGGGCUUUGUUUUCUUCGCUCGCCAUGGGAAGAUGAUUCUAGAGUCUCCCGCGGAGGAGGAGAAGACGAGAGAGGAAGAAGAAAAGAAAGAAAACUUCUUGGGUUCUGGGCCGACCCGGAAACUUAACCGGGUUUCAAUAUUUAUAAUUUUUCUUUUUAUCUUUUAAAAUCUUUUUUUCCAUUAUUUUUAUUUGUGGGCUUUUGGGUUUGGUUUGCAUCCGGUUAGGUUCAAUUUGAUUUGGUUUUGGUAAAUUUUUAGUUAUACUCUAUUUUUGUUUUUGUUCGAUUUAGUUCCGUUUGUUUCAGUUCAGUUUUCUAUGGAAUAUUUAGGGGGUGAUUGGCUAACACUUUCAAAACUUUUUUAAAAAUUAACAAUUUUUACCGUUUUAAUUUUUAAGAGAGUUCACCUCUUGUGCCACAAAACGAGAAAUGUUAACCACUCAUGCCACCGUUAUGUUUUAUUUUUGUUAUUGAAUUUCUUUUAAUUCUUAAAACUGAGUAAAUGACCAAACAACCAAACGAAAUUCUCUUAAUUACGACCCAACCUAAUAUUUGAUCCAAGUCCACGAGAAAACAACCCGGCCCAUAUCUUAUUUACCCUAAUUCUCUAAAAAUUGUCUAAGUCUCUGUGAAAAAAUUCAGAAAUCGUAAAAACAAAAUCGAACUCUCGAGAAAACGAAGAGUCCGACGCCAUUCUCAUCGGAAUUUUCUUGCUUCUCCGGCGUCUCGUCGUCUCCGCCGUCUUCGUAUUGCCUCGGAAGUUCGGCCGUCGUCUGCGUCUACUCCGUCAUUCGUCUCCUCCGUCUCCUCCGCGUUCGUUUGUCUUUUUGUCUCCUCCGCCUCCGUUCAGCGUGUCUUCGUCUCCUCCUUAUAUGGCUCGCGUGAGAAUGAAAGGUGGAGAUAGGGUAUAUGAAUCAACAGAAGGGUGUCGAGAAGGGGCUUCAAAUCCGGAUCCAAUAGAAGCUUCGGCGGAUGCCGCAGUUCCAAGAGAAGCUCCGACGGAUGCUGUUUCUCCAACAGAAGCUCCAAUGGAUGCCGAAUUAGAAGUUCCUUCGGUUCCGUAAUUAUUUGAUAAAGAAGAGAAAGAAGAAGCCAGUGAGUCAAAGGAAGAAGAAGUCUGUGAGCAUGAUAAAGAAGUUAGUGAGUCAAAGGAAGAAGAAGUCCGUGAGUCUGAUAAAGAAGAAGAAGUUAGUGAGUCAAAGGAAGAAGAAGUCCGUGAGUCUGAUAAAGAAGAAGAAGUUCGUGAGUUGUCAAUUGAUGGUCAGGGUUGUGAUGAUGAGGAAGAAGAGAGAGUUAGUGAUGCUGAGGGUAGAGAAAGCAGUGGCGAUAAAAAGGACGAAGAGGUUGCUGGUGUUAAGGUAAGUAAAAGUUUGUAUAUGUUGUAUAUGGUGUUUAAGGUAAGCAACAGACUUAGUUUUACUCAGUUGUAUGUGUUUGAAUAUGCAGGGCAUAGCUGAGGAAGAGGAGAGGGUUAAUGAUGUUGCAGCUGAUACAGAUGAGGAUGAUGAUGAUGAAGAAUCCCAACCACUGCCGCCAAAGAGCAUGUACUUUAGUCCAACUGAGUACAAUAAGGUAUGUAAGGUAGGAAGUAGGUGUAAAGUUGGCCAAACAGUGGCCAUGAUAGAGGCAUUUGAUGAGGAAGUUAGUUGGUUUAGGAAUCAUGCUCAGUUUAAGCAUAUAUUCCACAUGCCUAAGGAACCAAAUCACAUGAUUCAAGGCAUGUGGAUGCUUAUGCUUCGCACUGCUCGCACGGAUAUGGAGAAUGAGUGUUGGUUUGUUGUGAAUGGAGUGCCUAUAAGGUACUCCUUGAAAGAGCAUGCUUUGUUGACCGGGUUGGACUGCCAUGAGUACCCAAAGAAUUAUGAGAAGAAGGGUAGUUUGAGGUUUGUCAAAAGGAUAUUUGGGAGGACAGACAUAAUCAAAAUCAAAGAUGUAGAAAAGAAGUUGGCAGCUAUUAAGAGUGAGAAGUGUUUGGAUAGGAAGAAGCUGAUUAUUUUGUUGUUUUUAUGUGCGGUUGUGAAGGCUGAUUCUAAGGGUGAUGGGAACAUAGAGCAAUUCCUGUUAAGGAUUGUUGAUGAUGUUCAUGCUUGUGAGAUAUUCCCGUGGGGAAGGUAUUCUUUUGAGCAAUGUAUGACAGGGAUCCGGAGAAUGAUGAAAAACAUGAAAGGUGAGGUGAAAUCAAAAAGCACAGAGCAUCUUUUUUGGAUUCAUCACUCCUCUUGAGGUAAAAACUUGUUAAUAUUGUAAUGAGUUAGUGUUUAAGUUAUAGUAGUAAAACUGUGUUAUUGUGAAUUUGUAGAUUUUUGCAUUUGAGUGCAUACCACAGCUUGAAAGGCGAUUCAGAGAAGCUGUUCCCGCAGCUAAUGACUGUCCAAGAAUGUGCAAAUCUAAAUUCACUGACAGUUGCAUGAAGGGCUUUACCUUGGAUGAAAUAAACCAAGCCCUUGGUGAAAUUAAGGUUAGCUUUUGGUGCCUUUACUUCUCUUAGUAUGCAUAUGUAUUGAGUUUGAUGCUAUGUGUAUUUGACAGGAUAUCUCAAGCAUCUUGGAACCUGCUAUGGAUGAGAAAGAGAUGUUGUCUGGCCUUGUUGAGAAAUAUGUUGAUGAAGGGAUGGGAUUUAUUGAUCCAUAGUUGGAGAGAGCAGCUGAUCACAAAGAAGAAGAAAAUCUGGUGGAAAAGUCUAUACCAGAUGGACUUGCAGGCUCGGGGUUUUGGUGAUGUUGUCCCUGAAGUUGCUGGGAGGCUUGGUGAUGUUAAAGAAAGGGAUGGUGAAGUCCCGGAGACGCUUGGUGAUAUCCUCUCAUUACAGUCAGCUGUGGACAAAGGAUUUGCGAAGAUCAUGGAGAAGUUUGCUGAGAUGGACAGCAAAGUGAGUAUGCUGGAUGGGAGAGUGAAAGAAUUAGAGGGUUAUGUGGCAAUCCAGCUAGAGAAAGAGCGGUACAAUGAGUAUCAUCCAGGGACUUCAAGUGAUUUUGUGCCGACCUAUUGUACACCAACUGCUAAUCAACCAAUAGUGAGUCCGACAAAGGCUUUGGUCCUUCACAGUGGUUUCACAGACCCUAAUCCAAUCCAGAUUCAAGAAUUGAGUGAGUUUAUAUUUUUGUAGUUUUUAUUGAAACAUACAUGUUCUAACAUUUGAGUUGUGUAGGUGAUGAAAGUGAUCAGGAGCAGCUGGCUAGGAAAGAGAAGGAGAACAAGAAGAAGAAGAGACAGCGUGGCCCUACAAUCCAGACCGGGCAAAAGAGACAAAGGAAGCCUUCUAGGUUUAUGGCUGAAGAGUUUACAGCAGAGGGGAAGGGGAAGGGGAAGAAGAGGCAGAAGAAAUAGGUGAUCUUUAUGAUGGGUUGUUUUUGUGUAGGACAAAACUUAUCUUUUUGAGUAUUUUGCGGUUAUCUUUUAUUAGGAUUAAAAAGCAUUGUACUAUCUUUGGUUAUGUUGUGGUUUAGGUGCAUUUUAUGUAUUUGAGGUUUAGGAUGAAUCAUACAUUAUAUUUUUAAAAAUUAUGCAUCUGGUCCAACUACUAACAAACGUGGGACAACUAUUAACUCAAGUUGGACAACAGGGACAACUACUAGUAAUCCUGGGACAACUAUGUGAUAAACCAAGGACAACUAUUAUUAAAAUAAAUUUUAAAUUUUAGUUGGACCAGUUGAUCCAGGGACAACUACUAAUAAUCCAGGAACAACUAAAUUAUAAACCUGGGACAACUACUAUUAAAAUAAAUUGUAAAUAUUAGUUGGACCAGUUGAUCCAGAGACAACUACUAAUAAUCCAGGGACAACUAUAUUAUAAACCUGGGACAACUACUAUUAAAAAUACUUAGUAAAUACAUAUAAGUCGGAGUUGUACCGGUUGAACCAAGUACAACUAGCAUUACUGCAGGUACAACUACUAAUAAGACUUCAUGAAAACACAAAUCCAUAUCCAAAAUACAAAUUCAAAUAUUACAAAGACUAGGUGGUAAUCAUACAAUAUUACCAACUUGAAAGUAACCCCUUAAGCCUCGCAAUCUCGACUUCUUUUGUGGCUAACCUCGCUUUAAGGGCAUCAAUUUCUUCACGCAUAAGACGAAGAGUUUCCCGGAUCGACUCCAAAGCAGGUGGAAAUCCACCCCUCACAACCUCAAGAGAGGUUAAAACGUCAAAUCGUAGGUUUAUCUUGGACAGCUCCUCCGUAACCGCACAAUCCCACCACUGAACUAGGUGAUCUCGAUUAACCUUAUAUUCGUCUCCAUCCUAGGAAGAAUAUAGAAAUUUCAAAACCAACAAGUUGUACUUAGUUGUUCCAAAAUUGCAACUAAACCAUACCGUAAGCAAUGGGCAUCUGUAUACGCGCUCUCCUUGUUGCUGUCAUGUUAUACACCGCUCAAGCUUGACCAUUAAACCGCAGAAACACCUCUUGAGAACACCAUAAUUGGCGUCCGCAUUUCGGCAUCCACUGUUGAUACUUUCUACGGAUGUGGAGGGUUGGGAGUAACUAUAAGGCAUAUCUACGGUUUAGAAAAUGAAGCUCGGUAAGUAGAUCUGACCAUUCAAUCAAACAUAAAUCAAUUAAAUCUUACAAUUUUUUGGGUAGAUCUGAAAAUCUUACAAAUCUCAUAUACCCUAAUUACCAUAAUUACAGAUCUACUAAAUUGAAGUAGUCUAAGAGAAUUGUCAUACCUUAUAACGGCGAGAGAAUGAAGAAAAAUAAUAGAUCUGAAAACCCUAAUUUUUUUGGGUUUCUCGUGAAGAAGAGAGAAGAAGAAGAAGAGAGAAAAGAAGAAGCAGAGAUAAAGAAGAAUCGAGAUGUGAGAGAGAGAGACUAGUCAAAGUAGGUGGGAUCUGAAAUAAAUCAGAUUCGAAUUAAAGUAGGUGGGCCCGGUUUGAGUCAAAAACUAGUGUGAACACAUUUAUGUGGGACCCCCGACAAAUAGAUUUUCUACAUAGUUGUCUUUAGAUGUUCAGUUGUCAUAAUUUCCUCACAGUUGAACUAUUUCAAAUUUUGCAAUUUUAUAGUUGAACCUUAAAAAAUACCAUAGUUACCUAGUUGUUCACAUCAAUUUCCACAUUAUAUUGGUGUUUAAGAAGUUUUCAUAGAAUAAAUUGUCAGAAAACAUAGUUUCCAUACUUAUUCCAUCUUUGUAGAUGAUCUUGAACUAAUUGUUGCUUGUUAACUAAAGAGUGAUUUGUGUAAUUUUGGUUUUUGCUGACAUUAAUUAUUGAUAAUGUUACAUAUCAUAUAUUAAAAAUAUUAAAUUUUCUUUUCAGAGUGUAAAAAUGUUUUAAACUACUUAUUAUUGUUUAAUUUAUGUAAUUUUGUAUUUUUAUAUUUUUAGUUGUUUCCAGUUGUAUCGGUUGAACCCAGAAACCAUUUUUACUAAUAUUGCUAAGAAAUAAAAUAGUUUCUAUUACAAACUAGUCUUACAAAUAAUAAUCCAUAUAUUACAAAGCGAUAUUAGUCUUACAAAUAAAAAUACAAGUACAAAGUUGUUUAAGUUGUUCCGGUUGAACCCAAAUGGUUACACAGUUGUUCCGGUUGAACCCAAAUGGUCCAGUUGUUCCAGUUGAACCUAAGUGGUAAAAUAGUUGUACCGGCUGUACCAGGGAAUUAAUCAAGUUGCUUCUGGAUCCUCGGGCUGCAUCCAUCUCUCCAAGUUAAUUCCUGGAACAGCUUUGUUACUCUUUCUCCGUUUUUCUCCAACGGAUGGAAACCGUUUAUCUUGAUUUCGUCCUUUUGUUGGGGUGUAUUCCGGCGGGUCACCCUCCAAAUCUUUAAUUGGCUCGGGAAUAAUCCAUUCUGACUCAUGUGGCACUACAAACAACGUCCUGUAAUAUGCCAAUGCCCAAGUAUCUAUCAAAUAAAAGACGGAGCAGAGUCCAUAUAUGCUUACAUCUGCAGUUCUCCCUUCCUUGCGGCCUAGGAACCUUGCUGCGGCAAUGGCAUGGACACACGGGUACUUGUCUAUAUCAAAAGUCUUGCAAGAACAAGUUUUCAUUUUCAAAUCCACCAAAAAGCUUACCGAAUGGAGAUCAAUGACGUUGUAUUUUUGUCUAUAACUGUUAAGCUCAACAACUUUUAACGUGCAGCAACUGGACAUCGAGCAUGCAAGAUGUUCUCCACAAAAGGCACAACUUGUGAUGUGCUCGAUGCAUUACCUGAAUCUUGCCUAUGUUUGUUAAACCAUUCAGAGAACUUCUCAACAAGGGCAUCAAUCAUAGGUAAGAGGUCAUACAUCCUCGCUUUCCUAAACACAGCAUUCAUUGACUCCGCAGCAUUGCUAGUAUCGAUGUUGUACUUGUCUCCUUGGAAAUGGCACCUGGACCACUGCUCUCUCUCUAUAGUUUUAUCUAGAUAGUCAGCAGCAUUAGACCACCGACUCCUAAAAAUACCAUAUUCUCUAUUGAACUCACUCUCAGUAUAAGCAUGAGCGCAAUCCAUGAACUUAGCCGCAGCUCCCUCCUUAUCAAUCUUCGCACGGAGUCUCAGAUUUUGAGACAAAUGCCAUAUACAGUGUACAUGAUGCGCAUUCGGGUACACCGUCAUGACAGCCUUCUUGAUGCUUUGAUGCCUGUCACUAAUAAACACCAAAUCAGGAACUUCUGGAUAUACAGUUUUCAGCUUCUGGAAAAACCAUAUCCAACUAACAUCCUUCUCCGCAUCAAUCACACCAAAUGCAAGAGAGGGUAAUGGUGAUGAUUAGGAUCAUGAGCUGUUGCAAUAACCAACAUCCCACCAUAUACAGUUUUGAGAUGAGUUGCAUCUACAAUUAUCACUUUCCGCAUUGCCCUGAAGCCUUCAAUGCUAGCGCCCAAAGCUAUGAAUAGGUACUCUAACUUCUUCUCUUCCAACUCCACACUUGUUACAGUCCCUCUAUUUACCUUCUCUAACAUGUAAAGAUAAGAAAACAACAUCUUGUAGCUUUUUUCCGGUCCACCUCUCACUUCACUAACAUGCUGCAUUUUCCCUCUUAAUGCAGUGGAGUAUGAACAAUGCACACCAAGUCUUCCUGUCACAAUAGACAUGAUGCUUUUUGGAUUUGGGGUCUGUAGAUUACCUGGAAAGUCAGCAUGCAAAACAGCUGCUAUUAAUCGUGGUGUUCCCCUCUGUACACUAUUGCUUGUAGACUCAACAGACCGAGAGCAUGUAUGGAUCUUUCUAUGCACUCUAACACUCCAAUAAUCUGAUUGCUUUGUUCUCGCAACUCGUAAAUACCAUUUACACCCUUCAGAAUAUUGUUUGCAUCGUAACAUAAGUCUCACCGGGUCAGACUUAACAGUUAAAACCCCAUAAACUUCUUGUUUUGCAGCUUUGUUUACCAAUUCCCACACUACCUCCUUAGAACAAAAUUCUUGAUAAAGUUAUAUACCCGUACCAUCUUCCCAUUCUAUAUUCUUCGGAGUACCUUUUACACGAUUUGGAAUAGCUGGAAUAUCAUCAAAAUCACACAUACCAUCCACAUCUUCAUCCAAAUGGUUAUCCAUCGACCUUUCCACAGCCACAACUUCCAUACCUGUCACAUUCUGACACACUUCAUUCACCAAAACUUCAUUCACUUCUUUCCCUAAAACUUCAUUCACAUCAUUCUCCAAAACCUCACUCACAUCAUCUCUUACAGUUGCACUUAUUCCUUCAUCACCUCUCACAUUUGGAACUAGCUCUACAUAAUUCACACCAACUGAACUUCGACGCUCCAGUACUAAGAUUUCCACCCUCUGGUUAUUAUCACUUAAUACCUCCACAUGCAAAACUGGAAUACGACCCUCUUCAUCACAUUCUGUUAAAAAAAUGUAUACGACCUCAUCAUCUAUAAUAUAUGUCUCUCUCCGAGCUUUAGAUAGAUUGUAACUCAGUUUCAGAUUCCCGGGGACUCCAUUCUGGCCAACCUUCGUAGUGAUCUUAUCUAAUAGAACCGAAUAAGUUAUCUUCUCUAAACAUGCCGUCUUAAACGAUAUAGCGUAUAGUGAAUUUUUAUAAAUCCACUCAUUCCCUUCUGAAUAGUACCCUCCAUAGUCAAAAUGUACGUUAGUCUGGCUCUUUUUCUUCAUCGCCUCCUGAAAUUACAACAAUUUUAAACAUAAUUACCAACACAAUUUGUCACAAUUAUACUAGUUGUACCAGUUGGCUUACAGUCUAUCAUUUGUACCAGUUGGCCUACACCCUAACAGUUGUACCAGUUGACUAUGGAGGGUACUAUCCUGAAAAUACAACAUUUAAAAACAUCACAAAUCUACGCCAUUUUUCAAAUUUAUACUAGUUGUACCGGUUGGCCUACAUACUAUCAGUUGUACCAGUUGGCCUACAUACUAUCAGUUGUACCAGUUGGCCUACAUACUAUCAGUUAUACCAGUUGGCCUACAUUCUAUCAGUUGUACCAGUUGACUAUGGAGGGUACUAUCCUGAAAAUACAACAAUUAAAAAUAGCACAUACACCAUUUAUCACAGUUAUACUAGUUGUACCAGUUGGCCUACAUACUAUCAGUUGUACCAGUUGGCCUAUAGACUAUCAGUUGUACCAGUUGGCCUAUAGUCUAUCAGUUGUACAAGUUUAAUAAUUAAACUUAGUUGUACCAGUUGUCAUAGCUGUCCCAGUUGACUGAGAUCUGACUCGUAACUACAUAAAAUAUGACUCGAUUCAACAAUGGACGAGCUACAUUCGUUUAAUAACCAUUGCAAAUACCUCCAUUCGCCAAUAUACAUUCGAUUAGCCCAAAUAAAACCCAAUUUUCAUUUCAAAUCCCUAAUUUAAAAAAAUUUCAGAUUACUCAUAAAUUACCUAAAAUCCAAACAAUGCAGCAAUGUCAAGAGAAUACAUGAGAAGAAACUAACCGAUUUUGAGAAGGAGGAGGCGCCUGUUGAGCCGUAGUUGCAGAUCGACGGGAGCGGCGGAGGAGGAGAGAAAAAGAGCGUCGGGGUCGGGGAGAGAGAGGGAGAGGAGAGAGACAAAAACGAUUUUGUUUUUUUUUUUUUUAAUUUCUUCUUCUUUCUUCAUUAAGGGUAAUUUCGGCAUUUCACAUUUUCAAUGGCAUGUAGAUUUUUUAGUGGCAUGCCAGAUCUUUUUUUUCUGAAAAGUGGCCUGGAUCCAAGACAAUAUAGAUCAUAGAUUCAAGCUCUUUGAGUUUUAUUAAGGUGGAUUAGGCAAAGAAAAAAAAGAUAGAUAAAUAAUAAUAAGCUACUAACUCAUCGAAUCAAGAAAAAAUAAAAAAUAAAAAGUAAAAAAAAAACACCAAAUUUAAAUAAUUCUUGGAUCAAUUAUAUAUAUAGGAGAGAAUUGCUUAAAGUGACAAUUAUCUAAGUUAUAGAUAUUAGUGUCCAUUACAUUACUUUUUUUGGGCAAAAAAUAAAUUCAAGUAAAUUAAUAUCCAUAACUAAAACAAACCGAAUAGAACAAACCAAACCAAAUUGAACCAUUCCAAUAGAAAAAAAAUCUUAACCAAAUGAGUUUACAUGCAUAGACUAUGGUUUGGUUCUGGUUGGUUUGAGUUAGGGGUUUGGACGUUUGGUUUAGUUUUUUUUCAGUUCGGUGAAGUACAAUUGUACCAUCAUAUGUAUUAAGCUUUUUUUGGUAUGUACAGUAAGCUCCUUCCCAAAUUAUCAUGUUGAUGAUGUUGUAAUAUUACCUCAACAAAGGUUGUUUGACCAAAUUGCAUCUCUAGAGUCCCUUACGUGAUAAGCAAUGCCUUCUACCCUCUCACUAAGAUUUUGUUAAUUAGUAUCCAAACAUUCAAAUCUCAUUGUCGUGUUUAAUGUGGUUUUUGAAUGUCCGACCAGUAAUUGUUGGAUCGUUUGGCCCAUUUCCUCAGAGGUUUGUUCUCUCGAUCAUGUGGCAAAGACGAUAAGGUUGGUUGGGGUUGAGAUUUGUAGUUCUCUUGAGCCCUCGGUGGAAAACCUAGCUUAUUAGAUCGUUCUUGGUUGUAAGGGUUUUGUUUUGGUAGGCUUGAUAUUGAGGCUUUUGUGUGGUAGACUUGAAAAGCCUAGGCUUGUAAGGUCCAAUUACAUUAUUUUUAUUUUUUUGGGUGGGAGAUCCAGUUACAUUAUUGUGUAUACAUAUGUGAUAUGUUUAUGAAAACGAAAAAACAAGAAAAAUAUAUUAAUUACUUGAAACAAUAUAUUCAUUUGCAUAAUACUUUAACAUAUGUAUACGUUUUGAUUUGCAACCAUUUUUGUAACAUAAAAAAAAUCACUUAUUAGGACAAUCGUCCAUUUAUAUAUACACAAGACAAAUAUAAAGUAAGGAAAUUAUUGCAUUAUCAAAUUAAAAUUUCUAUAACUUACACAAAUCUUGGUAUUUUAAAUAUCUAUCCACAAAAUUAAAGGCAAAACCAGUAAUUACAGAUGGUUGUUACAAAUACAAAAACAAAUUACCAACUUUGCAAGUUGAUCUCAUAAUAAUACCAGUCAUUAGGACAACCUUUUUUGUAACAUAAAGAUUAACUCAUUAGGACAAUCAUUCAUUUAUACAUAAGACAAUUAUAAAAAGUAAAGAAAAAAAUCAUUGCAUUACCAAAUUAAGAUUUCUAUAACUUACACAAAUCUUGGUAUUUUAUUAUCUAUCCACAAAAUUAAAGACAAAACCACUAAUUACAAAGGGAUGUUACAAAAAUAAAAAUAAAUUACCAACAUUGCAACUGGAUCUCAUAAUAAUGCCACACUAGGUUCCAACAUGUAUAUAUAAACAACCUUCCUCUCCACCAAAUAUUCCAACAAAGAAAAGCAACUAAGAACCCGCCAUAACAAAACUAUGAUGUCGAAGAAGAAAGAAAGCAUCGGACGACAAAAAAUUCCAAUGGUGAAAAUAAAGAAAGAGAGCCACCGGCAAGUCACAUUCUCGAAACGCAGAGCCGGUCUCUUCAAGAAAGCUAGUGAGCUCUGCACGUUGUGUGGUGCAGAGAUUGGGAUCAUCGUGUUUUCUCCUGCAAAAAAGCCUUUCUCAUUCGGACAUCCGAGUGUCGAAUCUGUAUUGGAUCGUUACAUGUCUCGAAACAAUAUGUCCUUAGUUCAGACGCAGCAACCGCAAGGAAGCCCUGCAGCGAGCUGCGAGCUGAAUAUGCAGUUAACGCAUAUUUUGAGCGAGGUAGAGGAAGAGAAGAAGAAAGGUCAAGCUAUGGAAGAAAUGAGAAAAGAGAGUGUGAGGCGGUCGAUGAUCAAUUGGUGGGAAAAGCCAGUAGAGGAGAUGAAUUUGGUUCAGUUACAAGAAAUGAAAUAUGCAUUGGAGGAGUUGAGGAAGACGGUUGUGACAAAUAUGGCAUCGUUUAAUGAGGCGAAAGACGAUGUGUUUGGUUUCUUGGACAACAAAGUGACGGCUCCUCCUUACAUGAACAUGUCUUCUGGUCUCUCAAGUAUUUAUUAUGCCAACGGAAAUGGUUGUUUCUGAUUCACAAAUGCUUUUGGUUUUUGUGAUUUUUUUUUUUGGUAGCAAUAGAAAGAAAAAUGAAUCAAAUAACUUGUAGGCUAGUAUCUUGCUAGCUGUAUUUUCUUUCUUCAAAUUAUUUUUGUUUCUUUAGCACCAUAGAGAUAAUACGAUAAAUGGAUUCAUGUCAACUUGUCAAGGAUCAAAUCUUUAUUAAUGUUUAUCAGGUUGAACUACUUGAAUGGUAGAUUAUAUGUUAAAUGGAUAUAUACCUUUAAAUUAUGAUUUUAAAAACUGAUAGCUUAGAGUUUCAUCGCUUGUUAGAGGUUUUUUUUUUCAUGUCUUAUGAGAUUAAUGAAAAAAGAUAACAAAUCAGGUAAUACAACCAAAAACAGAGCAUAAUCACUCCAAACCUCCUCAAUGCGGUUAUGAAGCCAGGCUUGACCUCCCAUUGCUAGGUAUGAGUUGAAACGCCCAUCUCUCGUAACACUUUGAGCAAUAUUUCUAGCCAAUGAAUUCGCUUUUGGCGUGGAGACAAAGGAUUUAUACUGCCAUGGAUUGCAGUCAAACAAUAACUCAAUAAGUCCCAAGUUGUCAAUAUGUAGAUCUCGAAGACUUUGGCUGGUCCAUAGAAAAUACUAAAGCUCAGCUGCAAUGCGGUUGAUAGUAGGAAAAAGAGCAUCCUGGUUUACGGCCAUGAAAAGAAGCUGCACGAGUGUAGUCCCGAACAAUCCAUGCUCCACCACAAAUGAAGGCUUGCUAAUCCAUGAAGCGUGGACAUUGCAUUUCAUCACACCCAUUCGGCGUUUUCGGCAUAUUUUGGACAAAAACUUUGGUUCGGUUUGUUUUUGUAAUUGGAUGCUACAUUACAAAAAUACAUAGAUAUACUACUUGAAUAUCUACCUAAAUACUUUCCAAACCGUUGGUAUAUAUGUUGGAACUCAAUUUUCGACCCUGACCGGUUGUAAAAAAUUGGUUGAAUCUACAGUCUCUCAAAUAUACUUUUGACUAAAUUUGUUUUCAGAUUACCAAAAAUCUUCAGAUCUUCGAUGUUGAAUUUUGAAGGAAUGGAGAUCAUAAAAUAAAAUCUUCAGAUCUUUGAUGUUUGACCCAAGUUCAGUUACAUAAAAGAAAAAAAUGUAUAUAGAUAUAUAAUAGUUUCAGUGAGUUCAUAGUACUGUAAGAAAUUUUUAGUCAUUGUAUCCAGCUAUGUUGAAAUUUUUACUCCUCACUCAGUAAUUUUAAAAGAGAAGAAAUAAGAUAAUAAUGAAAACCAGUAUCAUUUUAUAUUUCACACAUCUUUAUUUCAUUAUACAAUGCUGUUUUCUCUUGAUUGUGUUCCUGAUAAUUAUGGAAGGACACAGAAACUCUAAUGUGGACUUGUGGCAAAAGACAACUUCAAUCAUACGACAGAGACGACUAUUUGGUUAAUGGCAUGACCAUUGAGUGUGAUUGCUUCCUUGGAGAUGGCAUGACGAUCAUAGAAACCUUUUAGUCUGUCAAAUAUUUCUUCUACUACUGAUUCGUCGGUUCCGAUCGAUAUCCUCACCCAAUUCUCUGUCCCUAGAGCCACUCCUACGAAAUUCCAACAAAAAAAUAAUUAUAAAUAGAAAAAACCAGAAAAAUUGAUCAUAAUUAACGAUUAAAAUCUAUAAAUCAAAAUCAUAUAUUUAAGAAGAUGAUUAUAGGAGCCCCAAAUUCUUAAGAUAUAUGAUGUUAAAGAGAUCGUUACCUGGUAUAAGGAUAAGACUCUCCUCACUAACUAGCUUCGUGCAGAAAUCAAAAUCAUUUUUGAUAUUGUCCAACAUUGAUGUGUCAAGCUUCAACUGUAAAAUAAAUCGUUUAAGCUAAUUAAUCAGUUAUAUGUAUAUCGAUAAGAAAUAUGUUAUUGUCAUAAAAAAUAUAUGGAGAAUCCAAUAACAAAAAAAAAUUAGAAGCCAAGAAAAAGAAAGUACCCAUAAAUAAGAACAAGAUUCGGGUUUCUUGGGACAAAAGAGACAAGGAAUGUCCUUGAGCCUCUCACAUGAAAGCUCGACGUUGCGCCUCAUGGCUUUGAUCUUCUUGUCGAAGAACUCUUUAGGUGUUUUCUCCAAUUAUAUCAGGAAGUGCUUCCUACAAAAACCCAUAUGUGGCUAGUGCCUAGAGAUUGAUGGAGAAGACGUCUUGGGCUGCUAUUACAAUCUACCUAAUCAACAGGUCUCCUAAUGCAUCACUAAAUUUCAGGAUUCCAUAACUUUUUUUUUUUGUCAUGAUAAAAGAUGGAUUAAAGUUAUUUCAGAUGGUUUCGGUGUAUUGCAUACAUACACAUUCAACAUGACAAGAUUAGUCCUAGAUCUGUUUCAGAAAUAUGAUGGUCCAUGCGGAGAGGUUUAAACGAAUUGAUUUGGUCACCUAUCUCACCAAAAUGCACUUAUACUUUCAGUCAAACGUCCAAAGAGAACUCCACAGUUAAGUGUGCUUGAGUUGAGAAAAUUUCAGGAUGGGUGACCUUCCGGAAAGUGAUUGUGAGAAAUGUGUGAGUUAGGACAAAACAAAACAAAAUAUCAUGUGGUGAUUUGUAGGAUUGAUAAACAUGUCUUUAAAACCUCUCGGACGUAGCGAACCGGUCAUCGGACAAGAAUUGAAUCCACUGACCCGAAAGCGGACGUAGGUGCUCACUGGUUGGGGCGGUCGUGGGUUACAAACAUCAACAUAGUCUUUGAUUAGAAAAACUAUACAAUGAAAUUUUUUAUAUGUUAAAUGGAUUAAUGUUGGUAUUGAACUAUUUUCAAUGGUAGAUUAUAUGUAAAAUGGAAAUAAUAAGAUUUUAAAAAUUAAUAGAUUAUAUUUUCACUGCAUGUUAUAGGUUUAUGGUGUGUUUCGACAUUUUUUGGAUAAAAUCUUUGGUCCGGUUCAUUUUUUUUAUUGGGUGCUAGAUUACAAAAAUAUAAACCACUUGAAUAACUACCUAAAUAUUUUCCAAACCAUUGAAGCCUUGGAACUCAAUCUUCAAGGCCACACCGGUUGUAAAACUUUAUCCUAAAUUUUCUGUUUACUUAUCAAAGUUCUUUGUCUAAACCUUCUACUCAUGUCAUGUUAGAGCGUUUCAAGAGUUUCGAAAAGAAUAGGAUUUUAAUUUCUAAACUUGUUAAUUCUCGAGUUUUUUUAGGUGUAUCGAUCUCAACCGUUAGUCAAUUUAGUGAGUUGAAUCACGCUAUUGACAAGAAAAAAUUGAGAACUAGUCUAAAUUAUGUAAGAAAUUUAAAAGAUAUGAUUUUAAAUACCAAUUUAAUGUUAGAAAUACGACGAAUGAACAACUUUUUUUCGUGUUGAAACGGCAAUCUCUCAAAUAAACUUUUAGCUAAUUUUGUUUUCAGAUUACCAAAAAAUUCAUAUCUUUAAUGUAUAAUUUGUUAGGAAAGAAGAUCAUAACAUUUU
rnacentral:lncRNA from 1 species